AGACUUUGAGAAAGUGAUCACGAACGAGUGAUUCAAGACCGUGUUUACAAAGGGUGUAAACGUGAGAAACAAAUUCAGCACCGUAUGAAAGGUCGCCGGCACCGCCGAGAAGAGAUUGUGUGGCUUUACAGAAGAGGUUGUAGCUUUCGAGGAUUUCGUGAAGUUGGUCUUGGGUGAGUGCGUCUAGGAUUCCUAUGUUGAACAGUGAUGAGUGAGAAUCCUCCAUUGUCGUUGUUCCACAGUGUGAUUGUGUUUCGAUGUUGGGGUUUUGGUGUUGUGGAAAAACUACUGUGUUUUUUCAAUGUUUGGUUGAGGAAUGAAAAUGGAGAGGAAAGAAAACUCAUCUGGACCCCACACAAAAAAAAAAAAAAGGAUUACUCAUGCCAGUUUGGACUUCGAAAACUCAUGUCAAUAUGCAUUCGUAAAUGGGGAUCAUGCAGGAACUAUUUUAUUUGAGGUCCGUUUGAUUGAGGAAUGAAAAUAGAGAGGGAAGAAAACUCUUAUGAACCCCACAAAAAAAAAAAAAAAAAGAGUUUACUCCUGCUAGUUUGAACUUCAAAAACUCAUAUGUCAAUAAGCAUUCGUAAAUGGGAAUCAUGCAGAAACUAUUCUAUUUGGUAUCUGUUUGGUUGAGGAAUGAAAAUGGAGAGGGAAGAAAACUAUUAUGGACCCCACAAAAAAAGUUUGUUUUGCUAGUUUGAACUUCGAAAACUCAUAUAUGUCAAUAUGCAUUCGUAAAUGGGGAUCAUGCGGGAACUAUUCUAUCUGGGGUUCGUGAGGAAUUGAUUUUUCUUUGUAGAGAUGGAGGAGCAUGUCCCCUCGAUAAUAUUGCAGGCAUGGAGAGGAGGAUCAUACCCUUACUCUACGGGGACCUUGUCCUCGAGUAAUUCACUUAAAUACAUUUGAUAUUUGUGUUUACAGUAUUAAAUAUGUUAUAUUUAUUUAUCUUUUCAUAUAAUGUAUAUAGAAAUUUAAUAAUGUCUUAGGAGACGUGGACAGUUUAAAUGGUGAUUAAGGGGGUGAGGAAGUACCUUUUGUUUCCACUCUGCCUUUUCACAUCCAUAUUUGCACGAUAGCUCCUGACCCUAAAGAAUUUUCAACUAGGCCACAUUGAAAUUCUCUCAUCGAUGUACCCCUAUCGAAAAAGUAGAUCCCCACUAUCAAACACAACUAGUGUGUUUCCCUAUAUUGAGACCUAAAUCACUCCAAGUAUCCGACAACACUUCACAUAGGCAUGACUCGAUGUCGAUAAACACUUUCUACAUUUUGAUAGCACAAAAUUUUACAGUAGGACACUCACAUAAAGACAUAAGAAUCAUUUCAUAUAUUCACAUAACACUCUUAGUUUGGUGACACACACUAGAGGUCCAUAAUCACAUAGCACAGUCAAUCAGAUUAUGACAACGUCUAUCAUAACACAUAUGAAUUCAAUAGAAUAAUUUUACAGAGUUAUUGAAGACAUGUUAUAGUCAUAAUAACACAUGUGAAUUCAAUAUAAUAAUAUUACAGAGCUAUUGAAGACAUUUCAUAAUCAUAAGAGAGUCACUUAAAAUAUAACAGUUACUCAAAAUAUCACAAUAAUGAAAUCAAAUCAACAUUUAUCAUGUAAUUCGCGGCAAAUACCUUUAAUACAAGUCAUACGACACCUUAAUAACAGGGGUAAUAGUCAUUUUGACCCUGAAUGUGUAACAAGUAGUUAUAAUAGUCCCACAAUAUAUAUCAAAAUUUCAAAAUAGUCCCUGAUUGUGCUUUUCAGUAGUCAAAAUUGUCCAUGACGUUAAAAUAAUUCAUUAGUAUUGUCAUAUCAGUCCUUCAAUAUACUUACUUAUUGUCAUUUCAGUCCCUAUAUGAAAAGAGUUAUUGUGAGUAUUGAGGGAUUAUUUAUGCGUCAUGGACUAUUUUGAUUAACAAAGUGCACGAUCAGAGACUAUUUUGGAAUUUUGAUACGUUGAGGGACUAUUGUAACUAUUCGUUACACAUUCAGAGACCAAAAUGACCAUUACCCCUUAAUAAUAACACCAAUAGGCUUAAAAAAAAACUCAUCACACCAAUAAUCAUAACUAUCCAUUUAUUUCACUCAAAAGAGUCUAACAACUAGUUAAACUUUGGAUAAUGUAAGAAUCAAUAUUCCCUGUAUAUCACUAAUUAUUAUUACAUGAUUAUCCAAUUGAGUUUUCUCUCACUCUUACUUUAAUUGAAGCGUUACCAUAUCAAGUGAGUUUUGAGCACAAAAGUUAUAAGUUACAACAUUAGAAGCAACUAACUCUACCAAUAAUCACUACUAGAAAAACACGAAAUAUGUCUCUAAAUUUGUCACUGAGUGUUAGCGACCUCUAGUUUUACGACUAAUUUUAUCUUUUGUCUCUAAUUUUCAUCAUUAUUUCAAUUUUUCUGGUAGUGAAUCAAAUAAAAGGUAUAAGAAUCAUAACUUAUCAAACUCUAAAUCAAUUGACAAUGGUGAAAUAAACACUUCAGAAAAGAAAAAUUCAACUUACAAUGGUUUUGAGUUUUGAUAAGGUUUCGUACACUAUGAUGUGGUGAAUCUAAAGAUGAAUUGAAACUAUGAUUUGUUGUGUUUGAAAGCUCAAAAGAACACUAAACCCUAAUACCCUAUCAAACCGUGAUAGACUCCAAAGCCCUUGAUUUCUGUGAAAUUUUCAUUUAAAAACUAAUUUCUGUAUAAUUCGGUUGUGCAACAUCAUGUCUCAUGCACACACAACUAGUAUGUUUUUGAGUUACAUUAUCUCUCAUCAUGGGCGAAUCUAAGAAUAAUUAUAAGGUAGCUUUCACAACAGUCAUUCUUAUGAUUGAAAGCUAAACAGGUAGCUCCCGCCUAUGGUUAUCAUGAGUGGGUGUAAGCACCCGCUUCUUUGCAUGGGAGUUCGGGUGUAAUGUUUUUUGUUUCUGGGCUGGUGCUUUUUAUAGCACCCUCACUUUGUAACUGUUGUAUUUGUUUUGUGGUGUUCUUCCUUUUGCACAUCUUGUGCGGGUUGAACCACCGGUGAGUAAUAUAUUCCAUUUUCAUUUGUUAAAAAAAAAAAAAAAAAAGCAUUGGCUACCCUAAUUUUUUUUGUUUUAUUUGAAUAAAUAAGUAUAAUUUAUAUUUAGCUACCCCAAUAAUAUAUAUUUAGCUAUCUCAAAUAAGUUUAUUUGUCAUAAGUUAGUUUGACAGAUUUAUUUCAUCUUAUUUUUAAGAGUUCAGGUUCUUUUAGCGACUACUUUGUUAGCAAUGAAAAUUAUAAAUACAAGAUUCAAACGUAAAAUAAAGAAUUAAUUUCUUGCGAAUUACUUAGUUGCUUACAAUAAAAAAUAAAAAUAAACCUUUAAAAUUUGGCCCCCUUGUAAAAAGGUUGUUAGCUUCGCCGCUGUCUCAUGGAUGUGCAUGCGUAACCAGAGGUUCCGCAAGUGCGAAAGCUUGGUUUUCUACUCGGUUCACUUUCGAUUCCUCUCAAGUCUCAACUCUCACAAUACCAAUUCUCGAGGUUUCUACUAAUGACUCAACAAUCCCUCGUCUAACUUAAAACAUUAUUAACACGAUUUCACAAUAAUUUUACACAGUCGCAUAAGUAUUUCACACCUUAACCCAAACAUUUAUAAGCAAUUUAUAAGCAUUGCAAGAUAUAUAAACACUAGAGAAAUUGGAGUGUUACACAAGAUUCUUGAUUGGCAGCCCAGCUGGACAUGCUCUUAAAAAAUUAUCAUUUUCAUGUGAUUUGUUGCAUCAGUACUCAAUUAUUUGAGCUAAUUUAAUUUAAUUUACGUUUGCAAAUGCAAGUGUUGCCUAGAAGUGGGAAUAUACAAGAGCAUCAAUAAGGGUUUAUAAUGUAGCUUAACAAAAAUAAAUAAAAUUAACAGAUAACUUAUAGUAAGUUUAAACCACACCAUACUCGAUUUCUUGAUUAAAUAAGUUAGGGAAUUAUUUUUUAAAAGCUUAUUUAUUUAACAAAAAAAAAAAAUUAACUUUAGACAAUUCAAUAAGUCUUUUGUGAAUUUUUUUUUUUCUGACCCUCUUUGCAAAAAAAAUCCAUGUCUGACCCCCUAUGAAAAUUAUUCACCAAAAUGACCCACUUUUUUUUUUUUUUUUUCAUUUUCCUCAUUCUUGCCAUUUGAAACGGCGGGAAUGAGCCGCCGUUCUGACACACGUCACAUCGCGACUGGCUAGCUAUUUUUUUAAUUAUUUUUUUGUCAUUACCGCCAUUUGAAAUGGCGGGACUGAUUUUUUUUUCUUUCAUUUUUUGCUUUUUUGAGCAACAUUUGUACAUUAUAAAUACAUAUUAAAAUACAUAUUAAUUUAUUUGAACACAUAAUACAUCACGUUAUUAACUACCGAUUAUUUAUACUCGGAUAGUUUCUCCUAAUAUGACCGGUAUGAUGACACAUUUACACUUAGGAUACUUAACCAAAGAAGGCUCCAAAUCCCUCUCAUCAUCACACCACUUCACAAAAGUACUACAAGGUGCACCCUGAAAACAAAAACACACAGUAAACAAAGAUUGAAAUAAUCACUAAAAAUACAAACUUGAAGGUGUUAGUAACAUACCCUUUUGAUAGGACAUGCAAAGUACAACCUCCCUUUGUUUCUUUCACUAUUAGAGAUUUUAACAUCACAGAAACCGUGACCGCAACGACAGUGUAUUUGCUUGUUGGAAGACAAAACCGGUGAAUGGUUAUUGUUGUUGUUAGGACAAUACAUAGACCAGUGACCUUGUUGUUUACAUUUGAAGCAUGUAUCAUUUAGCAUACGUUGAACAAGGCUUGGAUUUGGAGGGUAAGGAGUGGAUGACCGGUAUCUCGGCAUACCGGUCAUAUUAGGAGAAACUGUCCGAAUAUAAAUAAUCGGUAGUUAAUAACGUGAUGUAUUAUGUGUUAAAAUAAAUUAAUAUGUAUUUAUAAUGUACAAAUGUUGCCCAAAAAAGCAAAAAACGAAAAAAAAUAAAAAAAUCAGUCCCGCCAUUUCAAAUGGCGGUAAUGACAAAAAAAAAAUAGCUGGCCAGUCACGAUGUGACGUGUGUCAGAACGGCGGCUCAUUCCCGCCGUUUCAAAUGGCGGGACUGAGGAAAAUGACAAAAAAAAAAGUGGGUCAUUUUGAUGAAUAAUUUUCAUAGGGGGGCAUGGAAUUUUUUUUGCAAAGAGGGUCAGAAAAAAAAAUUCGUCUUUUGGACCUUUCCAUCCAACAUGACUUAGAUGGAAAACGUUCCUGGAUCCAUCAGACAUUUAUGUACCGUUGAUAAUCUUGUUUAAUAUAAUUCCUUUUGUUAAAAAAAAAAAGAGUCUUUUAAAACUAUUUUUUGCUAAGCAGGAAGUAAGGACAUACAUUUAUGAACCUCAUAAGACAUUCUAUUUAAAUAAAUAAAUAUGUUGGAAUAUAUAUAUAUAUAUAUAUAUAUAUAUAUAUAUAUAGGACAUAUCUAGUGAGAAUACCCCCUUUUUAUGUGAGAAUAGUGAGAAUGAUUAUUAACCUUUAGAUUAAAAUUGAUUGGCUGAAAUUAAAAAGCCUCAUUUAAUAACACAUUUUCCUCUCAAAGCCUGUUACAUUUUCAGAUAUUUCUCGCAGCUUCAAUGGUGAAUGAGACUCAAAUUGGCAAAAGUCACAAAUCUAUUAUUAACCUUUUUUUUGUUUAAAUAAAAAUUUAAGUUUUGAUUAAUUAAAUUUGACAGCACUUAUUCCAUGAAAAUCAGAAAACUGAACCUCACAUAAAGUGUACAUGAUGUAAUAAGAAAGCAAUUGAAAAAGGAAAUUGGAUAUAGAUGCUUGUUGAAUUUCAUGGUGAAUUCCAAAAUAUAAACUGAAUGGGGGUUUGACAAAGGGGGUAUAUUGGAUAUAUGAUGGAAAAAUGAUGUUGGCCCCAAGUUGAAGAUGAACCGUCAACAACAACAGGUUCAGGUGAAAUAGGCAUCGAAUGCAAAAAAAAAUAUUUAUCUUUCAAACGAAAUUCAUAGAUUCCUGAGGCAAGUUGAUUGCUGGAAAUGAAGUGAGCUAAUGAAGAUGAAGCGGCAAGGAAGAUCUGAAAAUGUAGCGGGCUUUAAAAGAAACGAUAGAGUGGGGAGAGGAAUAUGUGUUAUUGAAUGAGGCUUUUUAAUCUCAGUCAAUCAAUUUUAAUCUAAGGGUUGAUAAUCAUUCUCACCAUUCUCACAUAAAAAUGUUUGUUCUUAAUUCAACCUGUUACAUGUCUACUCACGUUCCUCCAACCUGUAACAAUUUUUUUCCUCAAAACAAAAAAAGAAUCGAGAUCUAAUUUGGGACUCUAAGCUUCAUGCUGAAAUAAGAAAAGUGAUCAAUCGCGUGCUUGAAGAAUUAAUCACGAUUUUUUAUUUUUAUUUUAUGAAAUGGAAGAAUCAUGCUGGAAGCAAUCCUAGAUUUGCAGCGACGGUGACAUCCCAUGAGGCGGAGAGAAAGGAAUCACGAGGACCAGAUUAUAAUCGGUGGAAAGAGCAGAUGAAGUUGGAAGUGGGUGCUGUUUACUAGGCGGCAGCGGCGACGACGAAGUCGUGAUAUUCAUACCAGGUGACGUCGUAGAUCAGUUCGGUUCUUGGCAGAGUCGGAUUUGAGAGUUCGAGGACCGAAAACAGAGAUUCUUCCUUCGUGAACAACAGAGCAAGGGAGGAACGGUGAAGAUGGCUUAAACGAUUUAACAAUCAGAAAGACACACAAAACUAGUAAAUCUUUAGAUUUAAUUUAAAAUAAAAAAUAAGAUUUAAUAGUAAUCACAAUUUUGUCCUUUUUGUUUUUAUCUUUUCCAAGAAACAAAUAAAGGGGUAUUUUUAUACAAAGGAAAAGGUGCAACUUGCUAAAAUAGACCUUCAUAAAAAUGAGUGGGUCUAUUGUAGCAAACCCCAUAUAUAUAUAUAUAUAGGCAAAUUCUAUGAUACACCCAAAGAUAUGAGUGUAUUGGUACACCAAAUCAUUAAAUUAAUAGUUAAAUGUGUGAUUUUUUGAAGAGAAAAAUUGUUUUCUAUCACCUAUAAUUAUAAUAAUCAAAUCUUAUUUAUCAAAAACAUCGACGAAAUAAAAUUUGAUUUUUUCUGAAUUUUUAGUAAUCGUAAUAGAGAAUUUUGAUUAUUCUUUACAAUAAAUGUAAAAAAAUUAGUAUCAUUUUUAUAAACAAUGAAAUGAUGAUUUUUUCUUAUGAAAUGAUAUUUUUUAAAAUAUAAAUAUCAACAAAUAGCUUUUUAUUUCAUAAAAUUGAUAGUUAAUUUAUAAAUUUUUGAAGUAAGAGUACCGGUACACCUUAAUUUGCGGGUGUACCGUAGAAGUUCUAUAUAUAUAUAUAAACAUUGCUCUUUAGGCAUCUAGCAAUUGCUUGCAACACAUAUGAAUGGCGAUUAACUACAAUUUGAUGCAAAACGUAGGUAACUACUGUUAGACACUUUUUAAAUCGGUUUAAAUGAUUUAAAAAGCUCUUCGAACAGAAGUAUUUUGAAUAAUUUAAGGUACCUCUAAGCAAUUGCUAGGUGCGUAAAGAGCAACUUCCUUACCACCUCUCGAAAAAUGUUGGGUUGUACAAAGGUUUGAAUCUAUAAGCUUUCCAAACUUGAUUAUUAUAUCAAUUAAACUUUCUAGACAAUUGUUGUUCCCACUUUUGGGAUUGCUAAAAAACUCAUCCGACGGCAAUUAACUAUCGAUAUUUCUUAUUCUUUGACAGUUAACUGCUGAAGUGACAUUUUUUUAAGUAUAUAUUCGGCGACAGUUAAUUGCCAAUGGAGGUAAAUGUAUAAUUUAUUGGUGUUUCAUAGCAAAGGUUGAUGUGGGGAACAAUAUUUUUCAACUUUCUACAAAUAUUUGCUCAUAACAAUUUUUUUAAGUUGAUCACUUGAUUGAUAGAUCAUAUUAGACCUUCAAAAAGUUCAUAUCAUCCUAAAAUGACCUAUAAUAUGCAAUAGUAUGUCAUACUUUGAACUUCAACUUUUUAAAAAAAAAUUGACCCAAUUUAUUUAAUAAAAAGUUUGUCUCACUCAAGUCUCAUCUAAACUAGGGUUAUGCCGGACAUCAUAUAUUUUCACAAUUUUAGGUAUAAAUCGUGUGUUGUAGUUUGGGCAUUAGUUGUGUUGUGGUAUCUAUGUCGUGUUCGAUGAUGUCUAUGUUGGAGCUUGUGCAUCAUAUAUUGCACAUAUUAUUAAGAGGAAAGGUGUAAAAGGGUCAAUGUUAGAAAUGAUGAUAUUCAUAAUUUUGAAGAGUUCAUUUUGAAUCCAAGCUUAAUGGAUCUAGAUUAAGGUAGAAGAUUUGAGAGAUUAUGCAUUGAAGGAGAAACCUAAAAUGAUUUAUUAAACAAACUGAAAGAAUGGAACAAUGAUCUUCUUGGCAACUUGUAUCACAAAAUGGAGAUUAUUUGAUUAAUGUUUCUUGGAAGAUUUUUGUGUUUCUAUGGUUCUACAAGAAGAUAAAAAGAGUGAACGACUUCAGUUGAGGAAAAUUAUAAUUGAGAGAGAUUGGACUAAAUAUUUUCAUCAUAGUACUGAAUUUUUUCAACAAAUCUUGAUUCUUCAUUAGUUAGCUUCUGCCAUAAUUAUAAUUGAUUCAACUUAAUCAUGAUUGAAAUACUUUACUUGUAUUAUAUUCAUUAUAGUACUAUUUUUUUUUCUUUCAAUAAAGUGGUUAUUUAUUGAGUUAUGAUACAUAGACAUCCUUAGGUGACAAUACACUCUUUGACACCCACACAAAAAUCUGACACAUAGCCACAUGGACCCCGCACAAGCACACUUUCUCUUUUCUCUCAUCUUCUCUCUUCCUAAUGUAUGGGAUGUACAAGAGUGUAUGGGAAUAAAUGGUGUCUAUGUAACAUUUUCCUUAUUUAUUGGUUUACACAACUUUGCUGGCUUUUAGAUAUGAUCUAAAUCGAAGAUGGUAUCGUAACUGUGUUCUACAGUUUUGUUUUGUUUCUACUCAAGUAAAAUCUAAAGAGUGUUUUCUCUGGUAUGUGCAAAAGAUGGUAUUUGGAGAGAUUCCAAAUGUGAGGUCACUUUGAAGGUGUCAUUUAAUUUAGGAAAGGCUUGUUUUUUCCCACCAUGGGAAAGUUAGUUUUUAACCAUUAAAUUAAAGAGGAGUAUCAAUUUUAUCAUGGUCUAUCACACUAUAUUUUUUCUCUUUCUCUUUCACCAUUUUCUUCAACCUCCAUCACUGUUCUCCUCUCCACUUCUCUACCUUUUCUCAUAAACCCCUAACACAGUCACCACUAAACAAACUUGGUAGAAAUCUCAUGGUGACAAAUAGAAAAUCAUAGUCAUAAUAAUAAAGGAAAACAGGACCUGAUUUUAACUAAUUAUUUCAAAGAAUAAUAAAAAGAUCUAAAAUCGUAUAACAAGGAAAUUUUCUGAAAGUGUUUGUCUGAUGUUUGCGUGAAUUGAUUUCUUGGGCUUCAGAGAGAAAGGGGAUAAUUAGUUAAAAGUUAUACAGUUGAUGCUAAUUCUUGUUUUGAGUGUGUUAAUUAAAGUAGAGACCAAUGAGUAUCUUCUCUCCAAACAACGGUUCCGACAACGUUUGUUACAAAUGUGUUGCCCUGUGAUUAAAGCAACAUCGUUUGCGACGGAGAAGUUGGAUUCGUCGGACGGAAGGGAGAGAGGAAGAGACGAAAAGAUGGCGUCGGAAGUGGUGUGUGCGUUUAAAGGAGGACAGGGAGGGUGGGAAAUGUUGUAAAAUUCCAGAUGUGAAUAUGAUGUUGCUAAUUAUCCCCUUCAAUGUUGAAGGUUGAAGGUCGGAAGUGGUGUGUUGCUAUUAUUCCAGAUCUAAAAUCUUAACUUAUGGAGGUUGAAAGUCAGUGGUGGUGGGGGGUUCACGGUAGAGUCUGAUGGAGGUUGAAGAAAAUGAUGAAAGAGAGAAAAAAUAUAGUGUGGAUAGACCAUGAUAAAAUCGGUACUCCUCCUUAAUCUGAUGGUCAAAAAAUACUUUUCCAUGGUGGGAAACAAAUAUCCUUUCCCAUAUUAAACCCCACCCACUUUGAAAGCCUGUACGAAGGGUGGCAUUUAAGGUGGGUAGGAGGAAGACUUUUCCACCAUGGAAAAGUUGCUUUUUACUACCACUUGUAAGUGAAACCGGUUUCACUAUUUUUGUUUGUUUUUUCAAAAGGAAAAAGAAUGCAGUAUUUAAUACUAGUAUUAAUAUAUGGUAUAUUUAUGUUACUAAAUAGUAAAUACCCUUUCCUUCUUCUUUCAUUCAUUGCUCCUUAGUCCCAACCUCCUCAUAGCUUCUGUGCUGCACUGCAGUUUCUGAACCAGGACAACAAAUUUGCCCUCGCAAGAUCCACCCUUCUCCAGGCGCCAUUUAGCGAUUUCAAAUCUCAUGAUUGUUGCUUCUUUCAUUAUCCAAGAUUAAUCUUGGCAUUUCAUUGCCGAGCAAGACAUAAAAAAAUUUGAGAUCUAAGAAUCAUCCCAUGUUUCAGUACUUCACCAAUGGCGGAUCCGUAAUUGAAAAAAGAUAGCCAGAAGAAUGAGCAUGCCAACAACCCUUGUUUUAAUUUUGAUUUAAUUUUUAAUUGACAUUCAAAACUUCAAGUCUGAAACUAGAAUUCAGGAAAGGGAAAGGAAAAAAAAAUAUAAUAGUACUUAAAAUACGGUGUUAACUGUGUUUUUACUUUUUUUUUUUUAAUUAAUUUUUAGUAAUUGGUAUUCAAUGCUUUAAUUGUUAAUGCAGAAAAUUGAAAAGGAAAAAAAGAAAGAAAAGGGUUUAACAAGUAUCCCUUCCAUCAUCUUAACCACUCAAUAUUAUAUGAAUAUAUCAAUGGCUAAAAAUGUAACUUUCCUAUAAUAAGAAAGAAUUCCUUCUACCCACCCUAAAUACCACCCUGUACGAAGUAGUUGUAACCUGCAGGCGAAAUGUGAUGAGGGAGUUAUGCAUUCAGGCUUUAUUGAAAGAGGUAUGCAUUGUGAUUAAUAAUGAGAUUUUUUUUAACCAAAUAAACUUAUAGCAUUUCAUUAAUAAAAAUCUGUUCAAUAUAUAUAAUUUAGUAUCUCAACCAACAUCUGAAAAUCAUUAUUCUUUCACACACUCUCCCACAUUUCCUUCUCUCUUAGAGCAUCUAGAAUCGUGACAUUCAUUUUUAAUAUUAAUGCAGGGCCUUCGCGAUUUGAUCGGCCUGUGUGUAUACACACCGUACCUAGUUUUAAAAUUUUGUAAUUUUAAAUUUUUUAUGUCUCUUUAAAAAGAUCACUCAAUAUACGUUACACAACAACAAUAACGACAGUUGUGUUACAAUUAUAUUUACAGUUCUUAUUUUUUUCAUGUAUACUUAUAUACAGAUACAUCUCAAUCAUAAUGUUAUACCAAAAAUUAUAUACAUCCCAGAAAAUGAUGAAAUUAAAGCUAUGCUUGUAUAUGGUUUGCAUACAGUACUACGUAGCAUGCAUGCAUCCAACAGGGUGUAAAUGAAAAGCUAAAGAAAAUAAAAGAAGGAUAUCACUGCUGUCUACAGAAGCUACAGUACAAUUAUAUAUGCGUUUGUCAUCAUUAUCUGCUGGUGGUCCUGGGAAAUUAAUUUUACAGUAUCAAACAACACUAUAACUCCUGCACUGUUAAAUAUCAGUAUUUGGAGAGAUUCCAAAUGUGAGGUGAUUGUGAAACCUGGAUGGUGAUAUGUGACGAGAGAGCUAUGAAAGUAUUGUGAUUGAUAAUGAGAGAUGAAGGGAUGGGGUUGUCAUGUCUUGGGGGGGGGGGAACCCCUAGUUAGGUGACGAUAAAUUCAUUCAAAAUAUUAACACUGUGUUUGGUUGUGUUGAAAUAGGGGAGAGAGAGAUUGCUAAGAGAGAAAUUGGAGAGAGAUAUCAAACUUCUCCUGUUUGGUAUGCAGAGAAAUAAAGAAGAGAGAAAAUAUUAUGGUGGGACCCAGCACUUUUUCCUUUCUUCGCUGAUGUGCGAAGAAAUAUGGGGAACUCUGCUUUUUUUUGCACUUUCCACUACAUACCCUUUCCUCAAUUUUGUAUAUUUUGCAAGUAUUCUCCUUCCUUAAUAUGUUUUUGUUCUACGCAGUGCAAUUCUUUUUUUCACACGUGAAUAUGAUAUGUUUUUUAGUAACACAAACAGUUUAUUUUUUAAAGAACACACAUAAAUAGUUGUUGUUCCCUUAAAUAUAUUCUCCGUUUGUGGUUUUUUUUUCUUCAACAUUUAAUUAAUUAAUUUUUUAACAAAAUUAAUUAUCAAUGUCCGUUUGAAUAAUUUAAUUAAUUUGAUUAUAUUCUAGAUUACUAAAUAAAAAAAGAUGGCUUAAUUAAUUACUGAAAUUAAUUAAAAUAAAAUAAAAAUGUGAGAUUGAUAUGUUUUUUAAUGAAGGGGUAUAUUAGUAUUUUCAAAAAUUAUCAACACUUAUCUCUCUUCUAUUUCUCUUCUCUCUCUCUUAAACCAAACAACAUCUCAAAUCUACUCUAUUUCUCUUAUCUUUCUCUCUUACUAUACUCUCUCUCACCUAUUUCUCUCUUCUCAACUUCUUCUCACAACCAAACACACCCUAAAUGAUUGUGAAUGAACUCUUUCUGAAGUUUAAAUAAAAAUAUAUAGUUUUCCAUCAGUAUAAAAUAAAAGAAAUUGAUUAGUGUACUAUGUCAAUGUACAAUUAUUUAACACAUAUUGUUUCUAAAUAUAAGCAAAAUUAACUUUUUAGAUUCAUUGAUUUAAUGAUGUAUAGGUUUUUUUUAGAUUACCUUUGAAGAAUUGUGGAUAAUUUACCCACCAACCAAUGAAACUGAGCAAUUUGUUGGUGGGGUCAAGAUAGUUCAUGGAUACCACUUAAAAAUGUGCUUAUGGGCUAAUGUGUAUUGGUUGGGGUAAAUUACCCAUCAUUCUUCCAUGGGUACCCUAGUUGUCACCUGAUGUAUAUGGUUCAUAAUAUGUACCACAUACAUCAUUAAAUAAAUGAAUCUAAAAAGUCAAUUUUACUUAUAUUUAGAAACGGAGGGAGUACAUUUAAAGAUGCGUUGACAUGUCAAUUAAUAAAUAUGACAACUCACGUGUUUGCUACAAUAGACCCACUCAUUUUCAUGAAGAUCUAUUUUAGCAACCAGCACCUUUUCACUUGGACACAAAGACCCUUAUUUUUGUUUUUUGGAAAAACUAAAACUAAAGGAUAUAAAUAUAAUUUUCAUUAAAAAUGUUAGAUUUUCAUUUUUUUUUUUUCUAUUUUGUUUUACGAGAUCUCCUCAGGCCCACCAUUCUCUUUCUUCAUUCUCCUUUGUUAACUCUCUUCUCUCACCACUUUCCCUGGGUUUACGUUUUCAUGGAUAAUCUUUUUUUUAAAAAGGUUUUCAUGGGUAAUCUCUUGAAUUCACAUCAUGGUUGUAACUUGCAUCAAUUUCUUUUCAUCAAAUAUAUUUUCGGUUUUCCCAAAUAGACGGAAAAUUCACGGUAAUUACCAUGAUUAAUUAUUACAAAUUUCGAAAGUGAGGGUUUUAAACUCUUCCUAAAAUUUUGAUUAUCGUGAGUAAAAAAUUGGAGUUGAAGGUUUUUUCAAUCGUUUAUUAUUCUUCUUGAUGUUCGGAUUUUUGUUCACCUGCCAUUUGCAAUCUUCUACCAUGAUAAUUUUGAAUAAAAAAUAGGUUGUUUAAUUUUGUUUUAUUGAAUUUUGAUUCAAAUUGAAUUGUGUCGAAACUCAUAUGGCAUAGGAUCAAAUGACACAAGGUGUCAAAUUAAAUUUGACACCAAAUUCUAGUCAUUAAUACGGUUUUAAUCUAACGGUUCUCAUUAAUUUAUUAAGUGCUCACAUACUUGAUUAAGUGACCCAUCUUUAAUUUUUAGAUAUAAGUCUUUUAUUUAUAUGUAUUUUCUCUAAAUUUAAGAAAAUGAAGAAUUUUCUUUAUUUCAUUAUCAUUUUCAAUGUCUCAUGCAUUUAUAUAAAUUUUUACAUCUGCUCCCAUAUAUACAUGUUCUUACUUUCUGAUACAAUUUUCUCCGACCACUAGUUCAAAAAUUUAUUAUCGAAGACUUGAGUGAAAUUUUGGGGUGCUAAAAUUUCAGUCUAUUUCGUAUGUGCUAUUGACAUACAAUGUUUUGGGGUGCUAAAAUUUCAGUCUACUUAUCAUGUGCUAUUGUUGUCUACUUCUAUGGUAUUUUAUUUUGUUUUGGUGUUUAUAGUGUAUUUGAUUUAUUUUCAGAUGUUGUCUAAAAAAAUAUUUAUUCAGUAGUGAAAAGCGAAAUAAAAAUCGAAAUGAAAAGCUAAUAAAAACACAACAAUGAACUAAAAAAAAUUAUGAUGUAAAUGAUCAUUUUCUCAUAUUAUGCCUAAGGCUCGUAAAAUUUUAGAAACAAUCCUGCUUCCAAGCCUGGCUAAUUCUUUUGGUUUAUCACUUCCAAACCUGAAAUUAGUUUCCUGGAUCUUGCAAAUAAAAAAUGCCAAUUUAUUUCAUCUUUCUUCUCCUUAUUAUCCAAUUCCCUAUAUCUUAUAUAUUCAAUUAAUUAAUUUGUUUGGUUUAUCACUAUGAAGCCUACAAAUAAUUCCCUAUAUUUCAAAUAAAAGGGACAAUUUGUUUCUUCUUUACUCUCCUUAUUAUCUCAUUCUCUUUGAUUUUUAAAUAAAUUGCACAAAUAAUCAUCGUUUAGACUUCUAAUAUCACUAAUUUAGUGUGUUUCAUAGUCAAUUUGCUAUUAAAUAAUAAGAAAAAAUAGAGUAUUAUAGCAUAAAUAUGGGAAAAUUGUUUAUUCUCAUCUAUUUUAAUCUAUUAAUCUUACUAAUUUGCAUAUAAAAAAUUAAUAGAAACACUACAUUAAUGUUAAUAUCUUUAAAAUAACCAUUUGAUUUCAAAAUUUAAGCAUAUCAACUUUCUCAUAUCGAUAUACAUAAAAUUUGAUUUCGAAGAUAUAAGCACAUAAAUUCUACAAUGAGUGCGGUGUAAAUAUUUAACGGUAUUUUGGAGAAACAAUACAGUGAUGUUGAUAUUUUGAAAAUAGUCACGAGUUUUCCAAAUUUUUUCAUAUCGACUAUCACAUAUCGUUAAAUAUUUUUUUUCUUCAAAAAUAAGCAUAUAAAAUCCUCAAGAAGUGCGGUGCAAAUAUUUGACGAUGUAUUAAAUAUAAACACUGCAUUGAUGUUGAUAUGUUGAAAAUAAUCAUGAGUUUCCAACAUAUCAAUUUUCUAAUAUAUGUACAUAAAAAUUUAUUUAUGCAUAUAUAAACACGUAAAAUCUGCAACGGGUGCAAUGUAAAUAUUGAACGAUGUUUUGCAUAAAAUAAAAAGUUAUUCAAUAGAAACACUAUAUUAUUGAUUAUAUUUUGACAAUUUAUUAAAAUUUACUAAAAAUGAUAAAAUCCAUCUUUGAACUUUUUUUAGUAUCCAUAUUAGAUUCACACAACAAAUUAUAAUGAACAAAUAAAAAUAUUAAUUUUCCCCUAAAAAAAAUAAUAAUAUUAAUUUUAUAAAUGCAAACGUAUGGUAAACGUGGAGUAUUGUUUAUUAUUGGGGAUUGACAAUGGACCACAACAACAAUAACGACAGUUAUUGUGUUACAAUUAUAUUUACAGGUCUCACCUGUAUACUUAUAUACAGAUACAUCUCAUAAUGUUAUACCAAAAAAUAUAUACAUCCCAUGCAAAAUGAUGAAAUUAAAGCUAUUCCUAAAUAUGGUUUGUAUACAGUACUACGUAGCAUUCAUGCAUCCAACAGGGUGUAAAUGAAAAGCUAAAGAAAAUAAAAGAAGGAGAUCAUUGCUGUCUACAGAAGCUACAGUAAAAGGUGAAAACUAUGUUACACAUAUAUAUAUGCGUUGGUUAUCAUUAUCUGCUGGUGGUAAAUUAAUUUUACAGGUCAAACAACACUAUCACACCUGCACAAAUCACCUCCUAUGUUAAAUAUGAGUAAAUAUCAGUUUUGAAAGAAACUUCGUGCUAUCAAUACGUAGUUACUUUUUUGAAAGAAACAAACAACGGUUAAGAAGUUUAAAAUUGUGUUUUGUUUGUAUGUGUAUUAAAUUUGACUUUUUAUAUUUUAAGAUAAGAUAGUAGUAUUAAUUAGGGUAUGUUUAGGAAAAAAUCAUAAAUGCAUCUAGUAAUUUGAAAAAGGGUUUACAUUUAAGGAUAAAAAUAAAAUCAAAUGAGUGCUUAAAUAUAAGGACGGAGGGAGUAAAUUUUAUUUUGAAAAUUGUGCAUUUAAAACAUUGAAACAACAAAAAAUUAUUUUUUCUACAUAAAAUUUAUAAAUUAUAUUUAUUUUUGAAUCCUUAACAAGUGUCCUUAUUAACGUGACCUAUAAACAAAAAGUAAUACUAGUAAGAGUAGUUAAAAAAUUAAUGCAUGUGGUUUAAAAUUUAGUCCACCCCUUUCUAUUUAUAUUUAAAGCAGAAGAUUUCUUUAGACGAGUCUAAUUUUAGCUCAUAAAAUUUUUGGUAGUGGUUAACUUUUUGAGUUUAUAUAUACUUCAUCUGUUUUAAAAUAAGUGUCGUUUUAGAUAAAAAAAUUGUUUUAAAAUGAAUUUCACUUUCAGCUUCCAAUGCAAUAAUAGUUUUUUCUUUUCAAUUUUACCCUUCAAUUAAUUAUACAUAUAUAUUACUUCCAAAGUAUUAUUUUUUAAUGACACCUGUUAAAGAAUUACAUAUGCAAUAAAUAUAUUUUGAAAGAUGUAUAGUUAAUGUUCUAAAAAUCUAAAAGAAAUAUCUUCUCAAUAUACAAGACUCGUAGUUUAAAUAUUUUGAUCAGAGUAUAUUCUUAAAUUUCAACCGAAUCAAUAACAUCGGUAGGUGUUGCUCAACUUCUUACAUAACCAUUUUAUUCAAAAUAGAAGCGUCUAGAAUACAAUCAAGGGAAGAGAUAUUUUGACUUCAAGAGUAACUCUAAAGAGUUAUUCCACAUCCCCACCAUUAAUUUUAUCUUAAUCUAACGAACUACAUUUAUGUCUUAUUAAUAAUCAUGUGCAUCAUCAUACUUGAUCAUUCUAACAAUAUUUAAGUUUCCUUUUUCAUACUCAAUCAACAUUAGGCAUGGCAACAAAACCCAUAUCCGUGGUUACCUGCCCGAACCAAACCCAAUUUGACGGGUUUUCCCCGUUUUGACUGGGUUUGGGUAUGAGUAUGGGUUUUCCCCGAUCUCGAAACACGGGUAUGGGACGAGUAAUGGGUAUAUAGUUACCCACCCCGAACCCAUACCCAAACCCGUCCCAAAUGUAAAAAAACUACUUUAUGUUGAUAUGUUAUGUUAUUUUGUUUGAUAAUUGUCAUGUUAAUAAAAACUACCAUUGAUAUUUAAAGGAUCAACUAAAUAAUUUUGUCUAACAAAUGUGAAAGUGAGCUUAUUGUUGGAUAAUGUAUUACAACGUUGCUCUUGGGGAUGCAAAAAAAACUUAUAUUUUUUAUUAAAAAAAUUAUUCAAUGCGGGGAAAGGAAUGGGGCGGGGAUACCCGAACCCAUCGGGGACGGGGAUGGGAUUCAAUUUCUCAUCCCCGUUGGGUAUGGAUAGGGUAACGGGUAAGUAUAUGAGAAUCGGGUAUGGGGACGGGGAAGGUAAAACCCGUCCCCACCCCGCCCCAUUGCCAUACCUGAUCAACAUUUAUGUUUUACUCACACUUUUUUUUUUGGUCAAGAUGUUUUAUUGCUACAAUCAGUUAUUGGUGAAAAAAAAAUCUUAUAUUUCAUCAUGUUUUAUUAACACAAUUGUUUUUUAUUGAGACAAUCAGUUAUUGGUGAAAAAAUAAAAAACAUAUUCUUACAUUUUAUCUAAUGUUUAUUUAGAACAGGACUUUGAUCUACCCUUAUAUAUAAAUAAAUUGUUUUCAAAUAUAUAUAUUUGUACAAAUAUAAAUUGAUAAAAAACUGAUUAAUACAAAUACAUAUAUACUAUUUUUUAUUUAAAAAAUGUAUAUAUAUUUUUAUUUUAUUGGUGAAUUAAAAAAAUUUGUAUUUUAAUAUAAGUGUAAUGUUUCCUCAAAAAAUAAAUAAGUGUGAUGUUUUUUACCAGCAUGAGUUUUUUUUUUAAGAACUUUAAUCAUAGUUUAAUAUUUGAAAUUUGUUCUAAAAAAACAUUUGAUGAAUCAUACAAAUAAUUUCUUGUUACCAAUUAUUAAUUGUGUUAAUGGAACAUAAAUGUUGAUUGAAAGCAAAAGAGGAAACAUAAUAUUGUUAAAAUGAUCAAGAAUGGUGACACACAUCGUUUUUGAUAAGACUUAAAUGUAAUCCAUUAGAUUAAGAUAAAAUUAAAGGUGGAGAUGUGGAGUAACUCCUCAGAGUUACUCUUGGAGUCAAUAUAUCCUUCCUCUACAAUUAAUAGUCUUUCUUUUUCUUUUUAAAAAAUUGUCUUAAUGGUGCACAAAUCUUAAACGACUAAUAUUGUGAGACGGAGGAAGUAUAUUGAUAAUAUUAAUGAAGGGUGUAUUUGGAAAAAGUGUAAUAAAUGCAUCUAAAAAUUUGUCUAUAGUCUUAUAUUUAGGGACAAUUUUUUUUGGUAAAAUAGUCUCCGAAAAAGGGACGGAUGGAGUAUUUGAUUCAUUAACUUGUGUCUUAAGGGCAUAAUUUAACAUUUCUAAAAUAAAUUAGUAGUAUGACUUGUAAGGCUUGAAAUCUUAGGUGGCUUUACGCUAAGGAAAAUUUUUCAUGAUGGGAAAAUGUCUUGUGACCCGCAAGAGGAUCCACAAUAGAGAAACUUAUUUUUUAGUAUUUAAAUGAGUCUUACGUCUACACAUUACUCAAACGUGAUCCACAAUUAUCUAUUAAUAACUAGUAUAGUGAUCCGUGCCAGCACGGGAAAUAAUUUUUUUUUUUGAUCAUAUGUAUAGAUUUUAUAUUAUUUUAUCUUAAAAGUUAUAAUUGUGGUUAUAAUUUAAAUUCGAUAUGAAAAAAAUAUCAUCUUAAUUUUGUAUAUAUUUUGAAAUAUCUAAACAUUGCAUAUAACGAUAAAAAUAUUUGGAUUAUUAUACUUGUACUAAUUAUUUGUAGUAUAAGAUGCACUCAUUGUUAAACUUAGCAUAUGUAAUUUUCUUGCAAAAAUACGCCGACGUACUGUGUAAUAAUAUUUGUUGACAAAAUGUAUUUUAUUAAUCAUAAAAACUAAAAAAUAUGUUUUUUUUUUUUUUAUAUAAUAGUCAUUGUCACAUGCAUACACGUAGUCGGUAAAUGCAAACGUUUAAUUUUUUACGGGUGUGUAUAAAUAUAGUUUGGGCUACAGAAACACCGAUUGUUAUUUGUUUUUAAUUUUUACAAAACAAAUGGUGUAAUGUAAAUAAUGUAUUUUAGGGUAACAAUGAUGAAAAAAAAAAAGGUUCCGCGGAUUGUUAAACCUGAAAAGUGCAUGAAUUAAUAGUCAAUGACAGGAGGAUCUGCUUAUAUAGAAAUUGCAUGUCUAUAAUGACCAGUACGCCUUACAAAGAAAUUAAAAAUAAAACGACUUCCAAACAAUAGGCAACUUUAGUUUUCGAAAUUAUAGCAAUAACAAUUCUAAAACAUAACCAAUGAUCAUACUUUUUUGAAAAAUUUCACGAUACACAACAUUUGUGGUCUCCUUACAAACAUUAUUAUCUUCAUCCAGGAUGACCAACUUCAGACCUUUUCUUGAAGUUACUCGAGAGACAGCGACAUAAAGUUGUCCAUGCGUGAACACAGGCUUAAGAAGAUAAACCCCCACUUGAGAUAAAGAUUGACCCUCACUUUUAUGUAUUGUCAUUGCAAAACAACACGUCAAUGGAAAUUGCCUGCGCCUGAAUUUGAAGGAUAGUCCUGGAUCACUCGGAAUAAGAUUCAUCCUGGGAAUGAAUACACUGGUACCUUCCCCUUUUCCUGUAAUUACAGUAUCAACUAUCGUGCUCUUCCCUAGAUGUGUAACUAUCAGCCUCGUACCAUUACACAGUCCAUUAGCAUGAUCGAUGUUUCUCAUCAGCAUAACUGGACAUCUCACCCUUAGUUUCAACCGGUGAUUUGGAAUUCUAGAGCUCUUAAUACCAUUAAAAAAUUCUGUUAAUGCAUUUUAAGUGGAGUACGCAAAGAGAAGUGCAGUGGAUACAACACUAACAAAACAUAUCUCAGUGGAGACAUGUUUUUACUUUGAAGUUUUAUGUUACCUCUUAAUGCAUUUUAAGUGCAGCUUUUCCUUUUAAAGUUGCAUAAUGACACAUCAUUUGUUCUGAUUCUCAUCGAUGACAAUUACAACAUGUUAUGGCCUUAAAAAAAAACAUAUCAUUAUGUCUUGAAAUAUGCCUAUUUUCACUUCUGUCAUUGUCAUAAAAACUAAAAAUGAUAGUAAGAGAAUAUAUGCAAUGCAACAGAAAAAAUGAUAUUAAAGUUACGACUCAAUUCUUAAUCGAAAAAAGUUUCUUUCAGCUUAACUCAAACUAAAAAAAUAAGCUUAUUUCUAAAGGAUUUCCCAAGACAUUAUUUAUUUAACGCGAAAAUAAAUAGAUAUAGGAACUGCUACAAAAUGAUGUCAUGAAUGCUCACUAAUAUAUAUAACGUGACAAAUUAAUCAAUUAAAGAACAGAUAAUGUGAACAAAUUAAUCAAGAUAUACAUAGUGGAAAGCUAUAUAUGACAUUUUUAUGGCGUCGACAGUAGGUUCUAGAUUAACCUUAUGCUGUUUGUUUUAUCUGUGGGUGUGUUGGUGUCAGUUUUGCGCUGCUAUUACGUGAUGUAGCCGUUGGCUAGGAGGCUUUUGUGUGUGCAUAAUUGCUGAUGCGUACGCUUGGCUUUUCUAUUUUUUAGUUGCAGGUAUUUCGGCCUAUUGUAGUGCAACUGUGAUUUUUUAUAGGAUCUUUGUGGGCAUUAGGUUGUGAGACAGGGGUACUCUCGUGUAGGCAGCACCACGGUUUGUCGUGGUACUUUGUUGGGUUUGGUCUUUGAUUAAGGCAACCUCGUGUACACCUCGGCCUCAUGAUUUUUUGGGUGAAGGCAUGUUGCCUUUGUUGGUUCUUGUAUUCAUCCUCUGUUCAUUUCCGCAAGUGCUUGGCGUUUCCUACGCCCUCUCGAUGAAGAAUAAUAUUUACCGUCUAAAAAAAAAUAGUGAAAAGCUCUCUGGUGUGUCUACUUUGUUAGGUAGCCUUGAAUUUAUAUCUGUUUUACUUAAGCUAUUGUUUUCUUAUGUGCAUCCACUCGUAUUUAAAUUCUUUCUUUCUAUUCUAUAUAUUGUUGUAUAAACAUGUUCUCACAAAAUAAAAAAUAUUCAAUAGUGUAUUUUUUUAUUUUUUUUGAAAGAAUAUUGUAUUUGUUUAUUAUCAUUACUUAAAUAGAUAAAUAUAUUUAUUGAGAUAGACAUACAAUACUUUGAGCACGACUAUGUUAACCAUUUUUCUAAACUGUGCCUUUUUAGCCAAAGAAUAAAAAAAUGCAAAAAUUAGAUCGUAAACAAAACGAAAAUGGUGCAUAGAUUUCGUAAUAAGUACAAUAAACAUUACUCGGAAUAUUCAGACGCUUCCUACGUUCAAUAAGAUACCAUCGGCCAGUAACUGCCAUGUCGCAUCCCAUACUAUAUCAGGGCUCGUCAUUGUGCUAGUGGUUAAGAGAUGCACAAACAACCAACGUAAUUGAUUGCCCGAACCUAACUCACCAUUUUCCGUGAUACCAUCUAUAAACUCUCUGUCAUCAUCAAGUAAUCCCAAAGCAGAGCAUGCUUCCUGGAACGUGUCAUAGGUAUGUCCAUUAACUGUUUUUAUAUAUUAACCCCAAAGUAGAGCAUGCUUAGUUACAAAUAAUAUAUUUAUAUUAAUGUAAUACAUUUGCAAAUGUUUGGUCUAGUGGUAAAAAGAUAGAUCUUGGACAUUAAAGACAAAUCAAUAAAUUAUAUCAACCUGUGAUAAAAUAAAAUGGACUGGUUUUCCCUUUUUAUUUUAAUAGUACUUAUUAUUUUAAUCUAUUAAUGUCUAAUUAUAGUUAUAAAAAAAUUGAAUUUUUUAUUUAUUACUAUAAUUAUUAAUCUUUGACGGUAAAGAGAAUGUCCUCAUUAAAAUUAAAUUUUUUGUUAUAUAUUAUAAUGAGAUGACUUAUUUUGAAAACUUCAUUACUCAUUAAGGAGAGUACGCAUUAAAACUAAUAUUUUAUUGAAAAAAUUUCAAUUUGAUAACUUAUUUAGAAAGUUUGUAUUACAAUAAUAUCAUUUAAAUUGCUUCUCAUUCUCUUAAAUAUUUGUCUUCCUUCGCAAGUUUCUUUUAUGAAAUAAAUAUUAUAUAAUUAUAGUAUUUUCUUUAGGAAUAUAAUUAUAAUAUUUAAAAUCUUAACAAAAUUAUUUUAACCAUGCAGUAGAUUUAAAAUGAUUUAAAUUUAAAAAAAAAUCAAAGUAUUUCCAUUUAUACUUGUUCAACAGAUAAAAAAUAUUAAAGUAGAUGAAUGUUAUUUCAAUUUAUUUAUAAAAAAUCCAUGAAUAAAAACUGAAGAAGGAAACAGAAACUGUAACAUUGGAAAUGGAAACAGAAACAAUGCAGCAAGAAUCUAUGAAUACAGAUACUCCACUGCAGAUUACCCUUGAGGCCGCAGAGGGAGCAGCAAGGCUCGGUGCAACAACAUCUCCCGUCCAGGGGGAUGUUUCCAUUAAUCAUUCAGAGGAUAUAUCAUCAUCAAUUCCGACAUCAGUGGUAAUUGAUACUUCUCAUACUCCUGUUAUUAUUAAUAAUACAUUCACGGAACUUGAGAAUGUAUCUGAUGAAAUUGUUAGAUAUGAUGUAGAAGAAAACCAUGAACAUAUUUUAUCUCCCGUCCGUGAGAAAGCCUUAGAUGUCAAUAGCAUUGUGGCUUCGGAGGGUGCUCCAAUACAUCCGGUUCUAGAGAAGGAUUUAAAUUUUAUGCAAGAUUGGUUAGCGAAGGCUGCUGUUAAUAAUGAGGUACUAUUUAAUGCGGUAAUUUCAAAGUCAUAGAAAAAAAAAAAAGAAUGUGCAAAAGGUUGCAUACAAAACCCGCUCUCAGGGUCCCCGCCCACCGUUUAAAUGAAUAUUAUUUAUUGGAAUAUCAGGGGGACUCCUCUAGUGCGGUUUGUUCUCAUAUCUUUCGGGAAGGGAAUUGGUGUGCAGAUGGCCUGGCAGCCUUGGGGCAUGAUAUGCAAGACACUUUGUGGUUCACUCUGUUGCCUCCCUCUUUAGGGGCGGAUUUUUCUAGGGACAGAAAUGAGAUGCCGAACUAUAGAUCUUUUUAUCUACUUAUGUUUCUAGUUUUCUGUAAAUAUUUAUUUUUCUUUAGAGGGUAUUGGCUUAGUCCCCCCUCAUUGUAAUUCUUUUUCCUUUUUUUAAUAAAAUAUACGUAUUGGAAAGGCGGUAGAGGAUGGGGGUGUCUAUUGGGUGCCAACCUAGUUGGGAUGCUUCAGACUCUCCCGGAUGCCCAACCUUUCUCUUGGCCUUAUAAAAAAAAAUUAUUUAUAAAAAAUAAGAUUAAAACAAUUAUAUCUAUAAAAAAAAUUAAAUUUUCAUUUUUAAUUAUAAUUAUUAAAUUUUUGUGUUUGGUCCAAUUAAUGCAUACAUAAUAAGCAAAUAAAAAACCUUAGAAUAGUAAAAUUAUUUUAAUGCAUACAUCAUGACCAAAUACAAAAAGUAUCAUAAAAAAAUAACCGUACAAAUGUCAAAUACAUGAGAAUGCUUGGUUUGGUCCAUGGUGUCGUGUGUCAAGAGUAGGCUUUGAAGAACUUUGUUUUCAUAUAUAAUAUAGACAAUAGAGGUCUAUGUCUUUUUGUUGUUGGUCAUAAUCAUCUAAAAGUUCGUUUUAAAAAAAUAUCAUCUUGUAUUUUAUAUAUUAAAAUUAAAAUAUUAACAGUGUCUGAAAGUAUAUGUAUCACUUCAAGCGCAUUAAAAGUUUUGGUCAAUGAUAAUGUCUGUUUUUUUUAUUUUUUUGAUAAAUGGUCAUUGAUAAUGUCUAUUGAAUGGUGAAUAUUUACUCAUUAAUCAUUUCCUUGGAAAAUUAUUACCUUUAAAAGUUGUGGUUAACAAUAAUGCAAUAAUUGUGCUUUAUUUUUGAAGGAAUUGUGCUUUAACUUAAGAUGCAAAGUUAAAUGGCUAUAUUUUUAUUGCUAAAUGGAUAGCACUACCAUGAGAGAAAAAUGAGCAUUUAAUGUGUACCAUAUAUUCGAAAUGAACUAUCAAUAUCAUUGUGAAUAAAACGGUUCGACAUAAAUAGAUAGCACAUUUUAAUUCAACAUAAACGGUUCAAUAACUUCUUUUUUAGAAAAAAAAAAGAUACGGUUCAAUAACUUUUUUUUUGUCGAAUGAAAGUAUUUUAGAUUGUUUUAUUUUAAUGCUUGUAUUUUACUCCUAUCAAUGAAGAUCAUUACAAAUGGAUCGGACAAAGUGAUAUGAAUUCAAAAAAAAAAACUAAUCUUGGUAAUUUUGAUUAUAGAUGGAACAAUUUUCAAUUUUAACGUUACUAAAAAAUUCAAAAAUUAAAAAUCAAAAUUGCAAGACAAUCUUUUGAUUCAUUAAAACCAUUUCUAAAGAUUAAGAAAAUUGGUCUAUGUUCAUAUCCCACACAAAGUCAUAGGGUGAAGGAUUUGAACCACAAUGUUCAUUGUCUCUUAAGAAGAUCUAUAAUUGUAUUUUGGUGCUCAUUAAUUUCAUUGAAUAACAAAUUACAAAGAAGCAAAUAACAAAUUUCUAUAAUAUUCAAUAAGAUUUUAUCAAUUUUAGAAUAUUUUUAAAAAAAUCAUAAUAAAUAUAUGACAGUUUUUACAAUAUUUUUUCAUAGAUGCACAUCAAAUUGAAAGUACAACAUAUUCAAUAAUCUAUAGAAAUACUACUAUUUGGAAUGUAAAAUAUCAUUUACAACACAAAUUGUAACUCUAAAGCUAAUUAGAUGAAUAAUUGUACAAAAGAAUAAUCAUUGCUUAAAAAACUCAUAAAAUACAUUCAUUCUAAUCAAAGUGCAUAAUCCAAUUUCUUCAAAGUUCACACCAUCUGCUGAUUCUUUCAUCAUCUUCGUCGUUUGAGAUGUACUUCUACAACUAAAUAAAAGGUGAAUAAAGAUCAAGAUGAAUUGACAAAGAAAAUAUUAGAAAUAGAACCGGUCUUAAGAAUUAGAUCUAAGAAAAAAAAUGAGAAUAAGAAGUAAAAAUGAAUAAAUUAAAAGAAUGAUCUCGAGAAAAUUAUCAAAAUUUCAGCAUCAAGCUCAAAAUUGAGUGAAAAUUUAAAACCAAAAAGCACAACUUAUAACAAUGAUGUGAAAAUUAUGAGUUAUAACUCAAAAUGAUGUGAAAAGUGUGAGCCUCAAACACAAUAUUUAUAACCAAUAUGUAUGAAGCAAUCACAAAAAAUUUCCCAUGUAGUAAUUGAAAAUAAAUUGGUACAUUAAUUAUCAACAAUUAGUAUGAUUAAAAUUAUAAAAAAAAAAGUAGUCAUGAUUUUUUUUAGGGGAAACAAAUACUCAUGAUGUACAUUUCUAUUUAAUUUUUUUUAUUUAAAUGUGUAAAAAAAAUUGUAAAUGUGUUCAAAAACCAAAUGUAUAAUUCUUUUUAUAUAAAAUGUAUUUAAACACAUUUUUUUAAAUAUGUAUUUACACACGAAAAAAUAUGUAAAUAAAUCAACCUUUGACUCGACAAUUGAUACUCCAAAUUUCAUGAUGUGAACGGGAGAUAUCGAAAACGAAUUCAAUCGGUUUCAUUUUUAUAGAUACAAAAAUAAAUGAUCUAAUAUAAUCGCGGAGAAAAUAAUAUAAAAAAAAGACAUAAAAAAAAAGAGGUAAACAAAAAAAUUGGAGUCAAACAACCUUAUUGUCCAUUAGAAUAAUUUCAUGAUGUAAAUAAGUCAAAUAUGUAUUUCGGUACUAUAUAUAUUUUUUUUUUUAAAUUUCAGUUACCAUCUAAAUGUCAAUUUUGGUUCCAAAAACUUUUUUUUCCGGUCAAAUAAAAAAGUCACACAUCAUAAGUGAAUAAUAUCUUUUCCAAUCAGUCAUGAUAUUAUUUGACCAUAAUUUAAGCAAUCAACCAUUAUAAAUCAUCUAUGAUAUUUAUUUGCAUGAUUGUUAUUUUUUCUGCCCUUUUUUUUCGGUUACAUAAAACUAAAUGGAUCCAAAUUCGUUUUUCUUUUUUCUUUGAGAGGAAGGUUUUUCCUUAUUAUUAAGGAAAAUCGAAUCAUAUUGUGUUUAAUUGUUUUAAUGCCACUUUGAAUAAAAUAUCUUUGAUAUAAUUACAAUCAAAUCAAUUGUUUCACAUCAUUUAUAAAAAAAAAAAAAAAAAAAUUGUCCAACAUCAUGAUUAUUAUUAUUACGAAAAUAAAAAUUAAGAAAUGUAUAACAUUAUUUUUGUUUUUGUUUUGAAUAAACACUAUUAUACAGUAUUAUUACUAUACAAUAUACAUUUGAAAAUAGAAACAAAAGUAUAUUACCUUAAAAUAGAACAUAUUAAUUCAAAUUAUAUAAAAAAUUAAUGGUUAUUACCAAAUCUAAAUAAAAUUAUUUUAAAAAGUUACACCCUUAUCAAAUCAUAUUUUUAUUAUUUGAUAUAUAUCAAUUAUUUAUUCUCUUUUUCAUUUAAAUAAUUAUUCCAUUACUUAUUUUAUUUAUUUUAAUCUCUGCAUUCAAAUAUUUUAAUUUAAAUUAUUUGUUUAUUAAAAAAAUUAAAUUAUUUGAUUAAAAUUUGUAUUUUUUGGAUUCGAAAUUCUAAAUGAUUGAUUUCUAAAAUUUAAUCUCAAAUUUAGAAAUUGAAAUUGUAAAACUUCCUUUUAUAUAUAAACAUUAAAUAUAAAUUUGUGAGGAUGAAUGUGGUGAGAGUAUUUUGUGAGGAUGAAUGUGGUGAGAGUAUUUGUAAAAAACUUCCAUUAUAUUAUUGUGCCACAUGUCAAUACCAUAAGAAGAGAAAAACAUUUCUAUAUAGGGACAUGAAAUAGGUCCCAAAUUUGUAUUAUAUAGAUAUAUAGAUAUAGAUUAUAGAGAAAUGCUAACCAGUGCUCAUAUGAUACUAGUUAAGGAAUUAUAUAUAUAAAAAAUUCUUUGGAAUUUGUUUAUUUUACUUUUUAAAACUUGAAAAGGUGAUCCUUUUAAUGUCAGUUUUGUGUUUUUUUUCCAUUUUUAAUUUUUUAACUAAUGUUCCAGCAUGAACCCUUUUUUUUUUUUGGUAAAUAGAAAUAACUUUCAUUAAACCAAAAACAAUUUUAUAAACUACAUGACAACAAGAACCACAACAACAAAGGAAACAAGAGCUAAGCUCGUACAAGCCUAAGAAAAGGCCACAACCUCACAAUAUUAACACUAGGUUCUUCAUUUGAUUAGUUUUCAUACCUCUAAUGUACACAAUCUCUUUGAUUUGGCGAAGGAGCUCUUGAGCUGACUGAUGAAUUUUCUGAAAAAUUAUGGCAUUCCUUUCUUUCCAAAUCAUAUACUCGGUUACACUCAACGUCAUUCUACUCAAUUGAUGUAUAGCGUUGUUCCUGUUGCAUUGACAUUGAAUAUAUUGCAUCACAUCUUGCUAAUUACUAGCGUUAGUAUUCAUUUUACUCCAUUGUGUUAAGUGGCAGAGCAAGGCAUUUUACAGAGCCUGGACAAAAAUUGCACAUUUCAUGCGAAUAAUUUUAUAUACUUCCCAUACAAUGUUACUUCCUUCCCGCGGAUAUACCUUUCCUGCAGAUCCUAAAAUCCUAACGAAACAAUUACCCGCGAAGGUAUUACGUUUACCUGGGAACCUAAAUCCUUGGCAAAAUUUGCAGGAAAUGUGUUUCUUGCAGAAUUUACAAUAAAAUCCGCAAAUAAAUCCGCAGGAAAAGCGAGGGAUUCUAGUAAUGAUUGGGCUUGCUACAAAGAAAGUAAAAGCUAAGUCUUGGCUAGCGCCCAGGCUAGCUGGGGGUGGUUCCGCCCUUGAUUGCAUUGCACCUUUCAAAACAAUCUUAGAAAACUCAUAAGUGAAGAAAAGAUGAGAAUGAGUCAUUCUAUUUUUUGCACAAAAUGCACAGUUGGGUACAUUGUAUCUCAAAUUUACUCAACCUAUCACAAGUUGGUAAUCUACCAUGUAUAGCCAGCCAAGUAACAAACAUUUUGGAGGAGUAGGGUUAUUGUAUGUCAUUUUCCUCCAACUAACUUUGGAAAAAUCACCUCUUACCAUUACCAUUGAAGGGUUAUACAUACGCUUAAGAGAGAAGUGGUUUUGCUCAAAACCAUUACCAUUGAUAUUUGAAAAGGUCUUUGAUGCAUCAAAAAACCUUUUUCACUACCCAUAAAGCUUGUGGAGGUGCCUCCAUGAGUAGUAUAUAAAAUUAUUUAUUCCAAAAAAUUACUUAUUUUUUCCUUUCCUUUUACUCUAACUAUAGUUUUUUUUUUUUGGUAGUGUACUCUAACUAUAGUCUAUAAAAUGCAUUCUUUAACAUAUGCAAAAUCAUAUUUGUACAUAUAUAAUUAACAUGAAAUAAUUGAUAGAUAGGCCUCUUCUAAAAUCUAAGCCAUUGAAUAAUUAAAGUAUAUGUGAACGGUGGGAUCGUGUACUUCCCUCAUACAUGUAGGAAAUUUAGUCCCAUUCCCACUGUAAACGCCACCGAAAUCUUAUGCAGUUGGGCUCUAAAAUUAAUAUUCCAUUGUCUACAUAAGAAGAAAACGACUGGAAGUAAAGCAUGAAGGUACGUAGCAGCCAAGAGAAAAUUCAUGAAGAGUGUACCAGUGUGUAUUAAUUAAAAGAAGGAAAAAAGACACUAGAGUCUGAUAUAUUGGAUAAUGGAGUAUUAAUGUGUGUGAAUUGACAAAACACUAAAGUGGAGUUUACAUACAUUGGAUAUCUUUCACUUUCAAUACUAUACAAAGAGUGUUAAACCUUUUGUGUAAAGUUCAUCAAAGUUUGACACAUUUUUUAGCUUUGUUUUCUCCAUUUUCUACUCGACCCAUGCAUUUUUUGGAGAUAUUUGGCCAUUCAAUAUUUAGAGCGGUCAUAAUAACACCGUCCCUUCAGUUUUAGUGUGAUAUUUAUACCAAAGUCCUUUCGAUUUACGAGUGGUCUUAGCACUAAAUUUGUUGUUAAGUGGCUUCUACCAUAUUUGAUUCUAUAAUUCUAGUGUAGAUUCUACAUUACGGUGGAAGUCCGAUACAAUUUUGACCGAGUUGUUUUAUCAUAGGUACAUCCUAGUUAAUAGUCAAUUUGCACAAUUUUAGGUAUCUUGACAAAAUGUAUUAAGAGAUAAACCUACUAUGCAAUUCAACCGGUAAUAUCUUCGGUGACAAAAAUAUUUUCAAAUUAAGUUUAUUCCAAAACAACAAUUUUAAAACUUUUCUUUUAUGUUAUGUCAAUUAAAGAAAUUACUAAUUCUUUGUUAUGCUAUUCUUGACUUAAACAAACCAUUUCAGUUUAAGGGAUAUCACUUUAAAAGAUGAUAUUUUUCUUAACUAUGAAAAAAGUUAUCACUAUUUUGAAGUAUGAUAUUCUAUUGGUGCUCGAAAGAGAUGAACAAGUAAAAUGAUAAAAAGGCUAAAGAAUUAGCCCAAUGGAAUGACAAUGGUUACUUAUGCAAGAGUUAUGUCCUUAAUCGAUUUUUUUUAUGAUUUGAAUGAGAAAAAUGCUCUUCUCCCAUCACAUUUUGCUUACUCCCAACUACACUCCCGAAAAUACCUCUAGUAUUAUAAGUCACGCAUGUGUUAAACACCGCGUGAGUUAAGUCACGCCGUGUGUCCUUUUAAAGGCCAUACAAGCAACUCAUUUCCUCAUUUCUCAUCUCAAAUCUCCAAAAACUCUCUCAAAUCAACGAAAUCCCUAAUUUCUUCAAGUUCAAAUCCAACAACACUCCAAUAACAAGUAAGUUUUCAUAAUCAAACACCAUUAACCUUUUAUGUUUAUAUGUUAGAUUUUUCCUCUUCAAUUAGACUUUUUUUUUUAGUUUUAGUUUUUGUUUCAAUUUUGAUUUUUUUGGCAAGAAAUGAUACAAUGUUUACAUGUAAUUGACUUAUAUUGCCUAAUUGUUUAGAUGUUUGCAUGUUUGUGUUGUAGUCAUGAGUUUUAGAGUUUAUAUAUAAUUUGCACUCCAAGUGUUUGAUGAGAUGUUUGAAUGAGUUUUUCGUUGAUUGUUUAAUUUCUUAUGGUGUAGAUCUGAAACAAUGGACAAUUUGUUCAAAGCUCGAGUACGUUUCAACGGCCGAAACCCUCAUUUGUUCAAGGUCCGGGUCGAUGUCACGCUAAAGAAUCUGAAGGAUCAACUGAACGAAAUCAAUCAAGGACUCAACCCCGGAGACACAAUGAGGGUGAAGGACCUUUAGUAUGCAUGUCCCGGUUAUUUGCAGACCGAAAAGAUAAUGCUGACAGAUGAUGACUGCGUGAGGAGCAUGUCCCCAUAUAUCAUCAGGAACACAUGUUCCCGAGGAUUGAGAUGGAAGUUACGUUGCUGAGAUCGCCUGAAGAUAUUCUGAAGAAUUUGAUUCUGCCACAUGAUUAUGUUUAUGUGGCACCAUUAUUAUGUAGUGUCUUUAUUUUGUCGGAAUUUAAGUUUUAAUUCUUGUUAGUUUGCGGAAGAUGUUGGUAUUGAAGUGUCUUAUAUUGAAUGUAAAGAUUUGCAAGCCUCUUUGAAAAGUCAAAAGAAUGGAUAAAACAUAUGUUAUUCUACCUAAUGGUUGUAUAAAUUCUUUCAUCAGAUUUCUUCGUAUAAGAUGAGUGAGACAUAAAGAAAUGCACCUCUAAGAUGUUGUUUUGUAUAUAUAAAAGAUUUAUAUAUAAUAUACAUCAACAUACAAUAAAAUUGCUUGGAGGUUCAAAGAGAUUUAGCAAAUGAUAAUAAUAUAGUAAAGUAGGUCUCACAAAUGGAAAAAACUUAGUCAUGGAUUGAGAUACAAAACUUGAGAACACUUUUCCCUUUCUCAAACAUUAGUCGUCAUAACUUUUCUUCUUCUUAAUCUAUUAAAUAUGUGUGAUUCACGAUCAAUUUUUUUUCUUCUGAAAUCAUCCAUAUGGAUUGUUUUUCUUUCUCUUGUAAUUAAAUAAGUGAUUUUUCACAUAUUUUCAACUUUCUUUUUGUUAGUUUUGUGUUUUCGUCGUCCAGCACGACUUUGUUUAUUUUGAUUUUCCGUCUUUGUGCAUCGUGUUUUUGAUUUUCUGUUUCAGUGCGGUGUUUAUUUGAUUCAUGUAAAAAGAUUAGUUUUGAUCAAGUGUAGAUUCAAUCAAUGAAUUUUGUGUCAUCAACGUUACAGAACCGGAAACAUGAGUAUUUUGAAGGCUUGAAUAUAAUCAUAUUUGUAGGCAUAUGUACUCUAUUGUUUUAUGCUAUUAACAUGGAUGUUAUGAGUUUGUUCGCAUAUUCAUACUUUUUGUUUUUAACGAUUUUGAAUUUGUAUUGUGUCGAUGUACUUUAUCAAUUUGAAUGAAUGAAUAUCGUUUUUUUUGUCUAAAAAAUAAUAAUACAAUAAAGGUGGUUAGAAAAGGCUCAAAGUAUCAAACAAUUGUCUUGUAUGUCAAAUGAUAUGACUGAUAGUCCGUAGAGAAUGACCAUAAGUCCGAGCAAAAAUACAUUCCAACAUGGACACAAACAUAAUAAAAGAAUUUUAGUAGAAAUUGGAAAAUAUUUGGCACAAAUUCUCACCAAUUAUGUUAUAGAGAAAAGAGACGGUGAUUGGGUCAAAAAGGGGAGAUGGUGAUUAUGAUGAGUAUCUUUCGUAGCAAGCCUUUGAUAUGAUGGUCAGAAUGAAUUUUUGAAACUAAAAUAAUAUUUAAUUUUUUUUAAUGAAAAGGUUAUGUAAUUCAUGUAAAAUUCAAAACAAGUAUAGUUUAUGAAUAGCAAUAGUAAAUAAUUCGCGAAUGUUUUGACAAGAAUCUUAAAAUGACUAGAAAUGAAAUAACGAAGAAAUUAAUUAAUGGAUUGUGUAACCUUCUAAACCCUUAAAGCGAUAAAUCACGCAAAUAAUACAAAUCAUACAAAGGAUUUAGAUGUUACUUCUUCUAUAAGUCCAAAACAUGCAUAAAUAAUUUUUCAAAACAUCGCAACGGAAUAAUCUACAUCUCAUCAACAACUAAAUAAAAAAUCUCCAAGUAGCCAUGCCACAUUAUCAGAAUACAUCUCCAAAAUAAUUCUGACAUCUCAACAUACUGAGUAAUAAAAUCUCAUAAAUUCAUAGACAUAAUAACGACAGACACCCUAGUUAGAGCCCGACACUACAAAUCUAAGGAAAAUAAACGAGGUAGCUCCAAAGCUAGCCUCUAGCAUACUCACAAACAACAACAAAGCAACUAAUAAUGCACGUCGUCUACUCAUCCAUACGAAUAAGGUAGGCGGUCAAUCAAACGACGAUUGGGGGUUAGAUAACAUUACACAAUUACUCCCUCCGGUCACUAUUAUAAGCAAAUUUCUACUUUUUAGAUUCAUUUAAUAAAUGAUGUCUGUGGUUUACAUUGUAGACCACAUACAUCGUUUAUUAAAUGAAUCUAAAAAGUAGAGAUUUGCUUAUAGUAGUGACCAGAGGGAGUAAGGUAUAAUCAAAGAUAAGCAUUCAAAGAUUUCAUGCACAACAUAUAUACAUACUCAUCAUUCCUAGAAUACUAACUCCACAUGAAUGUUAUCUUCAAUUCAAUACAAAUCAUGUUGACAUACUUCUAGCAUAACAUAGCAAGCAUAAUCAUUCUAUUAAUCAAAUCAUCAUCAAAAGUUUAUCACCUUAUCAAUAUCAAUGGAUACAAGAAUUUAUCACCUCAUUCUUUAUUUAGUUUAAUCAUAAAACUAUAACAAUCCCAUCAUUUAAAAAUAAUAAUCAUACAUGCCACUUUAGUCAUUGACAUAAAUCACAUACUUCACCUAAUGCAUAUAAUUAAUCUAAUUCACAUCAAUCAUAUAAUUCACAUAAACUCUUGCCUAAUCAACUCAACAAAUACAAUUCAUCAUUUAGAAAGUAUAGAAAAAUAAUUCUUCAUCAUCAUCAAAGAAAUCACCAAAUCAGAUAUAUAUGAUUCACACUCCAUUACUAUCACCAAAAUAGUCAUCAUCAAAUAAAAUCAUCAAGCGUACAAGCAAUCACCAAAUGACAAACAUCAUUAUGUACACGUCUCCACAUAUGAUCACAUAAUUCACCAAAUCACAUCAUCACAUAAUUCAUAUGCAUGCAAUGUUCUGGACACAACUCUACAUGCAUGUGGUACCAGCAAGUAUUUGGAUAUCAAAUGUAAUGUUACCGAGUGAUCCCCCAUCUUCAUGGUUGUUGGAUAUUUGAGAUAAUUUUACCGAGUGAUCCCUCUACAUAUCUAUGCAUAUAUUUUGGAUGUUGUAAGUAAUGUUAUCGAUUGAUCCCUCUAAAUAUCUCUACAUAUAGGACUUAUUAAUGGAUGGAUGCCAAGUAUAUAUUGACUCGAUAAUGCAUAACACCAAUUUACUCUACAUAUUCUCCACAUAUUGCAUUAUCAAACAAUACAUCCACACAUCAACAUUUAUCAAAGGACAAAUCAUCUCUACAUAUUCAUCAUCAAACAUUUAACUCCAGAUAUUCAUAAUCAACAACCAUAAACAAUUGUCAAAUAUACAUCACUCAGAAGAAACAACAUUGCUACAUAUAGCACAUUUCACAUAAUAGACGGACCAUUAACCACAUCAAGAUAUUCAACUUAAAAAAAACCAAUAAACCCUAGUUCACUCUUAUUUCCUCAUAUUAUCAUGUUCACAAGGUUAUUUGCAAGUUAUCCGAUCAUUAAAACUCAAUUUGAUAAAGUUCGGCUAUUUCGGUAAAAUUGUCGAUUUCCAAAUAUUUCACCAAAAUGGAGUUUCAAGUAUCAAUCAUAAACUCAAUACAUCCCUACACAUCACCUAUCAUCUAAGGAAAACAUUCACGGCAUUUUCGUUUCACAAAGUUACUUCAUUUUCCAAAAAAAUUUAAGUUCGUCUCAUUUUGGACAUGUUUUAAAACCAAAAAUUUUCCUCAAGAUUAAGCCAUGUUAAACCACUAAUUUAAGCUUAUUUAAACCCCUAUUGAAGUAGGUAUAGGGGUUAGGGACUUUUAGAGAUGCAAACGGGACCUUAAAACGCGAAAAAUCAAAGUUUCAGAACCAUACAACAUGUGCACUAAAAGUGCAAGGUCGUGCACAUCUAAACGCACGGUCCAGAAGAAAAAGCACGGUCGGGCACAUCCUGCACCAAACCGUGCGUUUUGCACCAGUUCAACAUAACAUACUUGCGCGUUUUCGCGCGUAAAAAUCCAAUUGUAGAUUCGUUUCCACCAAUGCGUCCGUAACUCUUAAACCUAUAAUUCUCUCCCCAAAAAUAUAGUUUUUAAACUCAAAACAACUUAAUUUAAACCAACACAAAAUGACUUAUUUUCAAAAGUGCUUAAAAUGAACUUUUAGCUUAAAACCCGAUUUUUCUCCCAAACCAUUUCUCACCAAAACAAAGUGAUUAAAAACAAAAAUUCUAUCAUCCUAACUCAUUCUAACAACUUCAUCAACUCAUUCAAAUUCAUUAAAAUUAACUUCUUCAUUUUCAACCAAUUUCCGCAAAAACCACUUCCACUUCCACUUCCUCUUCUUCUUCUUCUUCUUCUUCUUCUUCUUGGAAAGAAAUGAACUAAUAGUGAUCAACCUUCAGGUAAAUAGUGUGCAACCUUCUUGGGGAAAAAUACAUCAUCAACCCUUGGGCUAAAUCUAAAUAUGGUUCUUUUUAUACCCCAUGCAAAUUCUUUUUACCCAUGGUAAAAAGUUUUUGGGGUAAGAAGAAGCAAAUUUAAUUUUAUCCAAAGGGUUGAUCACUUCCCCCAAGUUGGCUACUUACCAUUUACCUAAAAACUGAUCACCAUUUACCGCAAGUAACUAGAGACUAUUGAAAGAAAAAAAAGAGAAAUAGAGGGAGAGAGUGAGGGGGAGAGAAAGUGAUAUGCUGUGAGGAAAUAGGGAAGUAUGGAGGGGUAUUUAUAGGUGAGAAUGGUAAUAUAGGUUAUAACUACCAUAAAUGUGGACAAAAAAACGUGUAAACUUGGUAAAAAAACGUGUAGAUUAAGGUUGAAAACCUGACUAUCGUUCAAAAAACGUGUGUUUUUGAGCUCAGACCAUCGGCCAACCUGCGUGAGUUAACUCGCGCCCAGGCCAGUGGUGCGUGACUUAAGUCACACAAAGCAAUAAGGUGCGUGAGUUAAGUCAAGUCGCGUGACUUAACUCACGCAGGGGUAUUUUUGAAAGCUCAGCUGGACGCGAGCGAAUUUUGUUGGGAGAGAGCAGAAUUCUAUUUGUUUUGGAAUGCGGGUGUAUUGGGGGCCAGUGGAUGAGUAGUAUAUGUGUUGUAACAAUUUGCAUAUAAUAUUAUAUUUUGGUUACCAUUAGAUAGUAAUCAUAUUUUUUCUUUUAUUUUAAAGUUUCUACGUUAUAUUCUUGUGUUUUUGUGUUGUGAUUAUGUUGGUUUAUUUUAUCUAUGUCAAUUUUUACAACAUAUUGGAUCAAUUCAUUAGACAACUCUAAUUAGUAUCAACUUAUACCGACUCAUAUUUUUUUGAAGAAAAGAGAGGAAAAAAUGGAUGAUAUUUGAGAUGGAUUAGAGAAAAAGGGAUGGAUAUUUAAGAGGGACAACAUAAAAAGGGAUGAUUUGGAAAAAGAGAAUUGAAUGAGUCUAAAUUUUAUCGCUCUUACGGUCCGUAUUUAAAUCUUCUUUUAUUUUAAAUACUUCCUCCGUCCCUAUAUCUAAGCAUCUAUUUAACUUUAUUUUUGUCCCUAAAUGUAAAUCCCUUUUCAAAUUACUAGAUGCAUUUAUUAUUAUUUUUCCUAAACAUACUCCUAAUUAAUAGUACUACCUCCGUCCCUAAUUAUAAGACCCUUUUGAGAAUUUUUUUUGUCCCUUUUUAUAAGACCUCUUUUCUAUUUUCAACUACAUUAAUUAUUUCUUUACAUACAUGCCCCUGUUUAUUAUACAUUUUUUUCUUCAAUCAGCAAUAAAUAGAAUGUUGAAAACAUAAUCUAACACUCUUUCUUAAAUGAUAAAAUUGUAAAAACAAUAGUAAUUACAAACAUAUUUAAUACAAAUAUCCACUAUCUUAAUUCCCGUUAUUUUUUCAAAAGGGCCUUAUAAUUAGGGACGGAGGUAGUACUAACUAAUCUUGAAAUAUGAAAAGUCAAAUUUUAUAUACAUACAAACAAAUGACAAUUUAAUAAUAUUAACACACAAAACAGACACAUUAAUUACAGUGACAACUUUUCUGUGAAAAAGACAAUGAGUAUCUACAUUAAAGGACCGAGAAAAUAAAAAGUAUAGUUAUCGAGUGAGCUUAAUAACUGAUGAACAAAGUCAAGCUUUAUUCCUUGUAACGCUGGCACACAAAUAGAAAUUAACUUCAGUGCAAUAUGAAUUUCAAACAUGAAGAUUCAAGAAUAAAUGGAAAAGAUCUUAAGAUUGAAUCUUUAUCGGCAAGUGAGCACAAAAUCUACUUUGAGAAGAAGGAACAAAUUAAAUUAGAUCGAGGGUCCUUUAUAAUCAAUGACACACAUAUUGAUGGCGGAACAUACAAAAUGUGGUUCAUUUAAAGCAAAAUAAAUCAAUCAAUGGAAAUAAGAUUACAUUGAACUUGUGCAUUCAAGAUUUUAUGGUGUGUUUGUUUCAAGUUAUAAUUGUAGAUUUUUGAAAAUAAAAUCAUAAAAACAUACAUGCAUAUGUUUGUUAGAAGUUUAUUAAAUUUUAUUCCCAAAUAUAAAAUGUUCUUGGGAAUAAAAAAAAUUUUCCAAGGAAAAAGGGUGGGAAUAAAGUUCCCAUGGAGAUGAGAAUAAAUUCAUAAACAGUUACCUAUUAUAAUCCUUAUUUUUAUGGUUCCUAGGAAUAUUAUAAAGUUAACCAAACAUAUUUUUCCUAAAUACCUUGGAAUAAAAUUUUCAUCUUUAAAUUCCAAGGAAUGUUAUUCCUAUGAAUAAAUUUGAUAAACUUGAAACAAACACACCCAAAAGUAUAAAAAGUGACAUUUUUAAUUUAAAACUUUCUCUUUUAACUUUCUUAACCAGUGCCCCCGCACCGGUUAACAUGGCUCAUCAACCAAAAAGUUGAUAAGAGAAUAGAAAUGGAAGAGGAAGCUUACUCCCUUGACCAAAAACAAAAAAUUAUUUUUUGAAGUUCAUUGAAUACUUAAUGUAUUUAGUCUAUAUUAUUGACAAAUUGCUUAUAAAUAUAACCGGAUAGAAUACACUCUUAAGAGAUAAUACGAAUGCGAAUUCACCACAAUUAUCAAGCUUAGUGAUUGUAAUUUGGGGAUAGAUAGUAAGUGUGUUCAAAUUCAAACCGAUCCAAAAAAACGAAAACCACAAAAAAAGCAAAUAUUUUUUUAUGCGUUUGGAAGUUGUUUUGUAAAAAUUGCAAUAAUCGGCUUAGAUUUUGGAUACUUUUUCAAAAUCGAACCAAACCACAAAUGUAAAUUUUAAUACUUAUUUAUUCUUUUAUUAUGAUUAUAUAUUGAAUUAAUAUAUUUCUUGUUGGUUUUCUUUCCUUAUAUAUUACAUUAAUUUAAUCUAUAUUAUUACUAUUUUUUUUUAAGUCUAUACUAUUACUGCUUCAUAAGUUUUAUUAUGUAAUGUUAAUUUGUUAACAUAUUUUAUGUUAUAUUUGGGGCAAAUAUAUAUGGUCAUGCUAAUCAGUGUUCCAAAAAUACCGGUUAAGGAGGUUAAAAGAGAAAAUUUUAAAUAAAAAAAGAUAGUUUUAAACUUUUAAUGUAUUGAUUACACAACUUUUAAUGCAAAAUACUACUAUUUUUGACUCAUUAGUUAAUAUUUCCCAAUAUAUAUACUAGUCCUUUUAAUUUAAAGUAAAUAUUAUGAUAGUUAUAUUACUAUCCGUUAUAUAUUCAGAUACCGGUGUGGAAAAUAAAGAUACAUAACCUCACUUGAAAAGUCACGUACAGUGCAUCAUAAUUACUACUUAAUUUGUACAACCAUAUGCUACACAUUUUUCCUCUAUAUAUAAUGUCGCUCUCCUAGAUGUUUUCUAUCAUUGAACAAUUUAUUGGUUGUGUCUUACAUUGUCUUUUAUUUGACUACCUUUGUGCAAUAAACCUCCCAAAACAUUCACUUGUUAGUUUUGUUCUAUAGUCUAGAGUUUGAAAAAUGGGUAGGUCACCUUGUUGUGAGAAAGUUAGAUUGAAGAAAGGACCAUGGACUCCUGAGGAAGACCAACAACUCAUAGCUUAUAUUAAAGAAUUUGGUCAUGGAAGCUGGCAUGCAUUGCCUGCAAAAGCUGGUUGGUAUUUAAUAUAUUUUUCUUCAAGAUAUAUAUGAUAGUAUAUGUUUUGUGUAUAACUUUUUUUUAACAAGUUUAUUAACAUUUUUGAUAAAAAGGGCUUCCAAGAUGUGGAAAGAGCUGCAGACUAAGAUGGACUAACUACCUCCGACCAGACAUAAAAAGAGGAAAGUUUAGUUUGCAGGAAGAGCAAACUAUUAUUCAACUUCAUGCCCUUCUUGGAAAUAGGUAAAUACACACUUUUCUACUAGCUGGGCACAUAUAAUGCAAAAAAAUAACUAACACUCUCAUCGACGAAGCUAGUAAUAUUUUCAUGAGGUGGUCACAUAUAUAUAUAUUUUUUAACUAAUCUAAUUGAGUAGGCAAAAAAAUAAAUUCACAAUAAUUAUUACUUAUAUAAAAUGUUCUUCAUAAAAUAUACACUUGAUUCAACGAGAACAGAUUAUACCAAAAAAUGCGGCAACAACAAAUUGUAUCAAAAAAGCCACAGUAGAAUAGCGGAUUGUACAAAAAAAGCUACAACAAAAGAAAUAAAAACUAAUAGUAGCUAUUUAUGAAAAUUGAACUCGACGACCCUUCAAAGACUCAAAUUCAUCCAUAAUUGCAUCUGAGCUAAACUGACUUACAAUGUCUUUUUCAAUGUAAAUAACCAAACUAUUUGAAAGAAAAUCAUCACUCAUUUUGUUUAUUUGUUUUGUCUUGAGAUUUUUCAAAACAAGACGAAUCAAUCUAUCAAUUAAAUGAUAACGCUUUGACUUCCCUGAUUCUACUAAUUUUUUGCAAAAUUCAGAGAGUGUUGUUAUAUUUUGAAAAGACUAAGGUAUAUCAGCAAUGUAAUGACUUAAUUGCAACCUCAAAUGAAUUCUUUCUUGUUCAAUGAAAUCAUUAGAAUAGUAACUAUCGGCUAACCUACAAAUAUAAUUAACGUAACAUAUCAGUAAAUACAAAUGAUUUUUUUUUAGUCAAUGAAGUCAACGCAGUAAAGACUACAUGCUAACUUUGCAAUAAGUCAUUCAAUAUGUUGUGAAUGUGACAACAAAGCCUCACAAGAUUGAACACAAAUAUUAUGUGGAGUGUUUAGUUUGUUUCCAACAUGAUUUAAAAGUGGAUAAUUUUUCCCGCUAUUUACCUUCUUUCAAGUAUUAAAUCAUUUUUCAAUGAAAACGUUAGAACCUAGACGGUUAGAAGCCUCUCUCCCAAAAAGGUAGCAUGGGAAACAAAAGAUAGCAUUUUUUUCAUGAGAAUACUCUAUGUACUCUCUCAUAUACUCCAGUUAGUUACCAUAUGAAUGAUUGCUUACUAUAUAUACUAUAGUACUCACCCUAAUUUGGAAAGUUGACCAUACUAGCAGUAUAUGUAGCUUUUAUAUAUGGAUGUAUAUGUUACAACAACCAAUAUGAUGUUCAUAGUCUCUCAAAAGAGUCUUAACUUAAAACAAAAAGUCCUAAUUUCAAUAUUUCACCAAAAACCUAAAUUAUUUAAGUUAAGAGAAUUAAAUCAUUUCUCUCUCUUAAAUCUACACACUACUUUUAACUAAUAUACAACUUAUCUAAAUGGUAAUGUAUUCAAACACUUAAAUAACAAUACGAUGAGUUAUAAUUAUCUUCAUUUAAGACUCUCAAUUUUUUUUAUUUGAAAAGAUAAACACAUAAUUUUAAUUUUUUAUAUUUAAAAAGAUAAACACAUAAAAAAAAUUGAAAAAAAAAAAUAAUUAAUGGUGGUUAAACGAACUUAGUGAUGGAAUAUACUAUCUAUUUUUUGUAUAUAUCUUUUUAAAUGACAUCCGAUAUAAACGAUACUUUGUAAAAACAAUAACUUUUUAUAAUAAAAAAGGACAUGUUGCUCUUAGGGCAGUCAGUACUAAAGCAUGUCCGUUCAAGGUCUUGAGGAGCCAACAUGUUGAUGUACGUUCAUAAGUUUUGCAUUUGAUAUAACUCACCCAUCCUUGCAUAUUCAACUUAUAAAAUGAAUAUGAUGUCAUUUUUUUAUUACUCUUUUCAAGUAUCAGUACUCCUCCGUUUUAAAAUAAGUGUCCUUUAGCAAAAAAAAAAUUGUUUUAAAAUGAAUGUCACUUUACAUUUUCAAUACAACUUUAAUUUUUUUCUUCCAACUUUACCCUCAAUAAAUACUCCAACUAUUCUCUCUCACAUAAUUUUCAAUGCAACUUUAAGUUUGUCUUGUUCUUAUAAAGUAAGGUUAUUUUAAUAAAAUUGCUAUGACAUUUGACUACUUUAUUCCAUUCUAUUUGCAUGCAAUUGGCUAAAGCGACACUCAUUUUGAAACGGAGGGAGUAUUUUUUUUAGUGGACUUAAAUUUUUCCAUUAAUAGAUGAUUACAUAGUGAUGUAUAGAUGAUUUGAGUUAUGUUUUUGUUAUGAUUGAUUAUGUGCACACAGAUGGUCAGCAAUAGCAGCUCAACUUCCAAGAAGAACAGACAAUGAAAUCAAGAACUACUGGAACACACACCUCAAGAAAAGACUAACAAGAAUGGGAAUAGACCCAACAACUCACAAACCAAAACAGGAUCAUUCACCUGGAAGUUCCACUUCUCAGUACACCAAAGACUCAGCUAACCUCAGUCACAUGGCUCAAUGGGAGAGUGCUCGUUUGGAAGCAGAAGCAAGACUUGUUAGAGAAACCAAUAAACUGAAAGUUCAAAGACAACUUGAGUUUGAAUCCUCCAAACCACAGCCACCUGCAAGACUUUUUCUUAACAAAAUCACUCCACUCAUUCAACCUUCACUUCCACCUUGUCUUGAUAUUCUCAAAGCAUGGCAAAGUUCAUGGUCCAAACCAACAACAAAAGAUGACUCAAACAAUAACAACAACAAAAUGCAUAGUAUGUAUGCUAUGAUGUUAUCCAAUGAUGAUCUUGAAUCUCCAACAUCCACUUUGAACUUUCCUGGAACAACCUUGCUUCCUUUACCUCUUUCUGUUCCUAUGACAAACAAUAAUAUUGAACCAUUCAAUCAAAGUUUACUUCCUUUUACCAACAGCACCAAUAAUGAUGAUGAUGAUUAUGAUGAUGAUUAUGAGAUAUGGAAACAAUUCAAUUUAACUAAGCAUAACACAGAAGGUGGUCAUGGUCAUGAUAACAAUAACACUAUGUUGAACUUUCAGCAAGAUGAUGAUAUUAUGGCGGCUGUGGAAGCAUUUAGAGCAAGCGGUGGUUUUGAUAAUAAUAUUAACACCCCUCCUAUUUCAACAAAUGUUCUUCAAGUUCUUGAGGGUGGUGAUCAUCAGGAAAAUUUGGAUGGAAGCAUGAUUUGUAACGUGAAUCUCGAGGAGAAUAAGCAUUAUUGGAAUAGCAUACUUGGUUUGGUUAAUGAAUCUGAUGAUAUGAACAGUAUCCUAUAACGAAGCUAUUGAUCAUAGGUAGAGCUAGCUAGCUAGCUAUAGUAGCUGUUUGGCUAUAGGGAGUACUUAAUUAGGAUAGUUCAAUGAGUUGAUAAUAAUGCAAUGUCGGCUUCAUUUGGACCAAAAAACACGUCUUAGUUGUUACCUUAGCUUCUUCUUUGUUGCUGUUUUAGGAAAGAAAAAAUAAUGUUGUUUAAUUACUAGUAUUAAUGAUCAAUUUGAAUUGUUUAGUGAAAAAUGUAACAUGUAUCCUAUCAUAAAUUUUACAGAUUACUUAUAUAUAGGAUGGAGUGCAUUAUCCUUACUAAUUAACAUGUUACAUAUCAAUAAUUAUAUUGACAUUUCUUGCUAAUAAACUCUAUCAGAGAGUUAUUAAAACAAGAUCAAAUUAAAGACACCUUAAACUUAAACAAAAGAUUCAUAUAUAGUCGAUUAGGUUGUCUACAUAUUUGUUAUGAUUGUGGUCAAUCAUGUUAAAGAGUCUUACCUCAGAUAAAAUAAAACAUGAACAUGUGUUUAUAAGUAGGGGUGGUAAACGCGGUUUUACCACCCGGCUGUCUAGGCUCAACCGAUAUUUUCUUUGUAUCGCUACAAGAAAUUUGACUUGUAGUGACAGCCAAUAUCCGUCACUAUAAGACAAAUUUUCGUAGCUAAAUUUGUAUGUCAUUGCCAAAUGACUGUCACCCAUGUUUUCCUCCUUUACCUACGGACAAAACGUAAGUAUUUCUAAGAAGACCAUUUUAAAAACAUUAUGGACCUCUACCUAUACGGUUGCGGCUGUCAUUAAAACAUAUCAUUUUUUUAUUUAUAUAUUUUCAAUUCUACUAUAAAUUCUAAAAAUGAAUAAUUCAUAAAAUUACCACUAAAAUUAAUUUAAUCAAUAUAAUAAAAUAUUAUAAUCAAUAUCAUUAAAAUUUGAAAUUGAUUACUAUAAUCAAUUUUUAGAAUAAAUUCUUGAAGUGACUUAACUAGAAUAAUUUUCCAUAACUAUGAACUAUUAUACCAUUCACCCAAACCAACUCAAUACUCACAAAAAUACUCAAUACUCACAUAAAUCAAAAUCUAUAUAUACUCCAUUGCUCAUUUAAUUUAGGGUAAAUACUCUUUUCGUCCCUGUAAUAUUAGCGAAUUCCGGUUUUAGUUCCUGUAAAUAAAAAAGAUUUAGAUUUUGUCCCUGUAAUUUCAUAUUCUUCCACUUUUGGUCUCUCCUUUCAUCACGUCAACAAAACCUGCAUCAAUUAUGUCCAUGUAAUUUCAGAUUCCUCCCACUUUUGGUCCAUGUAAUUUCAGAUUCCUCCACUUUUGGUCCCUCAUUUUACGUGCCAAGUAUGCAGAUUCUGUUGACGUGGUGGAAUGAGGGACAAAAAGUGGAAGAAUAUGAAAUUACAUGGACAAAAUCUAAUUAUUUUUUUUUACAGAGACUAAAACCGAAAUUCGCUAAUAUUACAAGGACGAAAAGAAGUAUUUACCCUUUAAUUUAUGGUAACAGAAUUUGAAUCACUAUUCAUAAUAGCUUAUUAGACAAAUGACAGAAUAUCAAGUUACAACUUACAAUCACUUCAUACCUAAAAAAACUUACAAUCACUUCUACAAUGGCAUAAUAAAUCAGAUUUUAACUUCUAAUUUGUGGAUCUUCAACAAUAGCGGGUGCAUGAAAGCUAUUACCAACAUUAACAAAAGUUGGAAGUCCACCAGUUAUCAAGCCCUGCCAAUAAGCUAGUAAAAUAAUCUUAUAAGCUCGUGAGAAAGAAUUGUUACCAACAAGAUCAACGAUGUGUGGUUCAAUGACUUGAUGAUAUGUUACACCGAGUGUGAGAUAUUCAAGUCACUUGAUGAUGUUGAUAUUAUUCGAACAUUCACCGCAAAGAGGUCUCGGAAAGGGCAUUUACCUCCUAAUUUUAUUUAGUACACUAUUGACAAGUUAUGUUUCAUCUCUCUUAUUUCAAAUUGUACUUUUAUCGACAAAAUGACGAGUCUCUUUUAUUUCAAUUUUUGAUUAUUUAUAUAUUAUGUCGCAUGUGAUUUACGGUCAAAUUUUGCUCGCGCUCGAUAAAAUUCCUGGCUACGCCACUGUUUAUAAGUGGAGACAAUCUUCAUCUCACAAGCUGCAGUUUUGUGGGAUUGUGAUAGGCCCAAAUACAAUUUCUAAAAUGACAUCAGAGUCUCUCCAAGAUCUAUUGACCACAUGCUAUUAGGUUUCUGCUAUCGGACCACCUACCAUUUAUGUCUACAAACCAAACCCAAUAGGGCUAGUCGUGAGGAUGUGUGUUAAAGAGUCUCACAUUGGAUACAAUAAGGCCUGGACAUGUGUUUAUAUGUGGGAGCAUCUUCACCUCAUAAGUCGAUUUUGUAAGAUUAUGUUAGGCCUAAACACAAUUUCUAAAAAAUCACUAAGAAAUCAUUUUAGAUAAUGAAAAUAUAAACCUUAGCGUUGUAUCUAUAAUUGGACUAUCAAUUCCCUUAUUUUUAAAAAAGAAAAAGUCCAUCUAUAAUGUGAAAGUACACAACAGAACCCUCUACUUUAUAAAAGAAAUAAAUAGGUGGCUUAAAAAAAAAAGCAGAAAUAAAAAGGUCACAGCCCAUGUAUAUUUAUCCUUGUAUUUGUGUGUAUAUUUAAACAUAUUCACUGUUUUUCAGAAAUGAGGUCGUACAUAGUCAUUGUAUUAAUGGUUCCGCUGAGUUUAAUUCAGUUCGUGCGGAUAUUGCAUGAUAUAUAUCGGAGUUUGAACUUCAAACAUCUUAUUUAUUAACUUAAAAAUAUGAAUUUUUAACUACUAAACUACUUGAUUAAAAAAAAAAAAUUGUAUAUUAGUUACUUUCGUACUAUAAUAAUUGUUUGUGGUUUCUUGAAUCCAAUAAUGUAAUUGUGAUAACAAUAAUGUAUGUUAAACCCAUAUACGAGAUACGAUACGGAUACGAUACUGCACCGAUACGUCGAUACGGGAAAAUUUCAAAAAUUAAGAUACGAUACGACUGGGAUACGUUAAUAAAAAAAAUUAUAAAAUUUAAUGUACAAUAUAAUUAUAACCAUUUUUUUAAUAUACAAAUAUAUUAACAAACAAAAUAAACCAGUCAUAGGCUCGUAGCACAUCAACAUAAAUAUAAAUAAUAGUGACGAUUAAGAGAGUGAUGAUUAGUCAAUUACAUACACAAUAUAUCCCAAAAAGAGCACCAUAAGUGCUAUACUAUAUCUAAAAGGAACAUUGUUAGUGCUAUACAUAUCGAUCCAAAAAAGAAGCACUAUACUCAAGAGUUAAGUUAUUUUAAUUAACAUUAAUUGGGAAGUAUUGGGGCAGAUAUUGUUACAGGAUAAUUAUCGGAUACUCUCCUGAUACGUAUCGGGAAGUAUCGGAUAAUUAUUUUUUUUAAAAAUAAAAUUUAAUCUUCGGAUACUCUUCUGAUACGUAUCGGUGCAGGAUACGCAGGGAAUACGAUACGUCAUCCAUUUUAAAGUAUCGAAGCUUCACUAAUCUUUUAACUUUAAGACUCCAUGUUUCUCACUCCUCAUAUAUAACAUGUAUCCUUAAUAUAUGUUGAAUUGCAAUGUACAUAUGUUAUCAUUGCUCUAAUGUUCUUUCCUUUUCAUAUCAGGUUGAAGAACCUAUGAUCUGGCUGGUGGUUGCAGUUGUGGAAACCGAACACUGUUGUGAUCAGAUUUGUUUUUGAAUUGCUUGCUAUAUACUUUGAUAUUACUUCUCUUACUGAAACUGAAAAUUGUUCCCUUGCAAUUUCUGUCAAUUAGUGCAGGUUUUGACGUCAAAGUGAGUAUAUAACUUCUGCAUGUGUGUUUUCUCAAACCUUGCUGCAGUUAAUUAUAUUGUAUUGUUUAGUUUCGAACACAAUUUCAGUGCAAUGUUGAUUUAAUUGGAUAUGUUAUUGAAAAACAAAGUUGUCCAAUCUUAUUUGAUGUUCAUAUCAUAGUUUAUUGUUUUUUUAUUGUAACUAUAUAGUCCCUUGACUGGAUGUAUCUCAGAAUGUUGUGAUUAAGAUUAGUUGAUUAAUUUUUAAUUCAAUUCAUAUAUAAUGAUUGUUGAAGAGUAUAUAUAUAUAUAUAUAUAUAUAUAUAUAUAUAUAUUUAUAAUUUAGGUGUCUUUUCUUAAUUCAUCCUUUUCUUGGAGAUUACCUUCUAAUAGUUAUUUGUUCCUCUUAAAGAAAUAUCAUUAAGCCUCUUGAUUUGAAGGAUUUGUUGCCGUCCAAUGAAGUUCAAAUUUUUGGCCAUGCAAGGUCAUAGAUAUCUUAUGAUUAUGAAUGCAGAAACAAAUCGCAUCGGUGAGUAUUUUUAGAAAGAAGAAAAAAAAGAUUUACAAUAGUUUUCAAAUGUAUUUAGCAGAAGAUAUUUUUGACUGAAAAUGUUUAUAUUCUAUCUAACUUUGUUCAUCAAGGUUGUAAUUUUUGACUGAUAUUAGUUGUAAUUUGGAGAAAAUAUAUAUCUUCAUUUGCAGAGUCCAAUAUCAUUGUUUUCUAUGCGGUAAGUAUUUUAUCAAUGCAAUAUCAUUGUUUUCCUUUCUAUUAUUAUUAGUGACAAAAUCACCAUUGAACAUAUCUUUCACAAUCAUUUUUAACUUGACUAGGUGCUUUAUUUCAACUUAAAGAAGUAAAUUCUAUGGGAUAUCUUAUCUUAUCUUAAUCUUAAUAUUAUAAGAACCGUUAAGUGUUGCAAGUCAACCCUAGAUAAACCUAUUCAAGCCUUUUGCAUUUUAAGCUGCAAGUUCCAUGGGUGCCCAAAACCUUAAGAGUAUGUUUGGAUGGGAGAAUGUUUUGAGGGAAUAUUGUAAUGUUACGAGGGAAUUCAAAUACUGAGGUGAAUUCCAUUGUUUGGAUAAUAAUUUGAAGAAUUUUCAAAAUGAUAGAAAUUUACGAAGUAUUUUUUUUUUAAGAAAAAUUUAUAUUUCAAAUAACACCUAAAAUAUAAGAAUUUCAAAAUUCUUCAUUAUUAUAAUCUUUCAAAUUUUGCAUUUUGGUCAUCAAUUUUUUCAAUUUGACCCCAAAAAAUUAUAAAUUGACCCCUCAAAUUUUUCAAAAAUUAUAAUUUGAUCCCUCAAAAUUUUUGAAAUUUACAAAUUGACCCCUAAUUUUAAUUUUCAAAUUUGACCCAAAAAAAUUAAAAUUUAUAAAAGUUUCCCAAAAAUGAUGCCAUUGAAAUUUUUUAUUACUCCACCCAAACAAAAGUAUUGAGAAAUGAAUGGAAUUUAAUUGAAUCAUUUAAAUUGCCUAAAAUUUUAAAUUCUUUAAAAGUUUCCAAUUACCUCGUCCAAACGCACUGUAAGGUUUUUGAAAUGUGAAAAUUACUUUGGUGCCCUUCUGUUCAUACACUAUGUCUUGCCAUUACUUGGUUACCAAGUUGCUACUUUUGCAUGGAAGAUCAGCCUAGAGAACUGAGCACACAUUUUGUCGAUAUAGGCAUCAUGAUGCUUGGUGCAUUUAGGUCCUUGCUUGGCACAAGAAUGCCAUCUUCCUUCUAGAGAACUGAGAACAUGAUGCUUGGUGCAUUUAAAUGAGUGGCAUGUAUACACAAACCAUAUAACAUCAACAUUAUCCUGACAUUACCACCAGAAAUCCCAAUGGAACGAUUAGCCAAUUUUACCAUGUUUGCCAAAGACCGUGAAGCUGCAGGUGCAUUGUUGUCCAUGAAAGGUAUGGUAAAUCAAGUUGUGCCAUAAAUCAAGUUGUCUAGCAUCUGACAUCGUUUGUGCCAUAAUGUUUUUGAUGCCACCUGAAUUUGUAUUUGAUGGGAAAGAUCAUAAAUUUGAAUGUGAAUUAAUUUGAACCAUGCAGUUAAAAUCAUCUUAUCUAAAUUUAUGCUCGAGUUUAUGUUGUUUCUAUUGUAUUUGGUUAAAUCAAUCAUCUUAUUUGGGAGCUUUUGAUCUCCUGUUGACAGUUGAAGGUAAUGCUGGUCCAGAGAUUGACAGAGUUGUUAGAAGGGAUUUGAUUAACUUGAGAAUCUUCCACAUGGAGUAUGACAUGUGCUAUGUGAGUUGUUAUACAGUCAAACUGUGUUUUUGUUUAAUGUGUUAUAUGCCAUAUUGUUUAGUUCAUUGGAACAAGAUUUCCAUUGAAACACGUUCUUGAAGGUCAAUAAAUCCCUUAUUUAUUCCAUAUCUGGUUGGAGCCUUAGUUAGUUGCUAUAAUGGAUGAUACUCCAUUUGAUGUAUAUUAUGAUAUGUUAAACUUGAAAUCAUUUAAUUACUUUGCAACUGACUCACGUACCAAAGUAUUUGCUCACUGAUGAGUGUUUGUGUAGCGUAAGGGAAGGGAAGGCUUCCUUCUUCGUUUGCAAGAGGGUUUGGUCUACAAGUUGCUUCGUUUGUGUUGUUACGUGAUCCGAACCAGAAUGAGGUUAAGGUAGCUAUUGAAAAAGAAGAACGGGAGGGUUUAUUUUACUGAUGGUUGGACAUUUUUAAAGAGCUUUAAUGGGAUUUUGGGUGGUGCUUGGAUCACAAUUAUUUUUGCAAAUCGACAUCUUUUUCUGAUGGUGGUAAGAAAUCUGCAUGGAGUUUAAUUGGUGUAUCCUUGCUUCAAUCCUCCACGGAGAAUGUUGUCGCAGAAUCAAGGUACCAAUGAGUACAGAAACUCGGUAGCUCGAUAUGGUUCUAAUGCCAUUUUUCCUCCCACUGUUUUCUAUCACACAAUUGUCAAGGAGUUAACAGCUGCGGACAUUUCUUCUGGAGUGUUGGUGAGUUUUACCUUACACUUUUCUUUUAUGCUGCGGACAUUUCUAUCCCACUGUUUUCUAACUUGAGAUGCAUUUUUUAUUACAAUCAGAAGCUAUUUGGAAAUUGGUUAUGGAUUUCUGUCAUGAUCAAGAUUUGUCUUGUGUAUUUUCUGGUGAGUGGCCACCUCUGUGUGCAACGCCCGUAAGUUGAUGGCAGGAAUAAAGAUCAAACUUGGUGUCACGGGAGCAGAUAGCAAUAAGGUUGUGUAUCUAUGUGCACCUCCAAUGUUGGUGUUGAAGACAAAAUUGCCUCCAUCUAUAGGCAUUGGUGAAAAUGGUCCGUCUUAUCGAUUUGAGCAGCUUUUCUGAAAGAAUUAGCAGUGUUGAUUAUGUGGGGUCCUUUGCUUAUAUGAAUGUUUAGUAACUAGUAGCGUUAACAAAUUAUUACGUUGAACAUAUAUAUCGUUCGGUUUAAUUUAAAACGAUUACACAAUAUUGACCAAUAAUAAUUAAAUUAUUACAUAAGUUAUAAGUGACACAAAAAAGUAGUCGACACUUGAAAGAGCAAUUAAUCCAAAGAAAAAAAUAUUUCUUGAAGAUAGAUGCAUCAUUGCUUGAUAGCUCCAAAGUUAACUACAAAAUAAAACAAAGUUUUUUGAAUUUUAUAAAUACAGCUAAGAUAAUUCAAUUUUUAUUCAAAAUUCACUAUGAGGAGGAAGGUUCUGUAAGCCUCCCGUGUUUUUUGGGCAUAUGUUUGAAAGUAUCCUAAUGAAUUGGUAAACAAAGAGUGAGUCUUAAGUCAAAUAAUAAUUUUGUUUAUGUUACAAAGAUAAAUUAAAAAAAGCAAGUAAUUAUGGUUACCCAAAUUGAUGUCAGCCUUAUUUGUUUACCCAUAAGAAUAGUUGUCUCUCUAUCAUUUUAGUAACUAUUCAAGUUACACUAUGAGGAGGAAGAUUAUCAAAGCCUCGUAUUUUUUGGGGUUAUCCCAAUAAAAUGGAUAAACAUAAAGUGUGUUUAAGUCAAAUAGUAAUUUGUCUAUGUUUACAAAGAUUAAUUGAAAUAAAAUAAAGGAAGUAAAUAAACAAAAAGCAGCUAUAGAUAUCAAGUCUUUGAGCAACUCUCCAAGAACUCAUCUUUGGGGAAUAGCUUCCCUGUGCCGCUUUCCAACCACACAACCAGUGCAAAUAACAGGGGAAUCCUUGAGCACCGGUAAUCCUCAUAUCGUAGGUAUGUAAGUAAAACAUUAUUACUAUUGUAGGAUUAAGCAUCAAAGGUAAUUGACUUCAUUGUUGAGUUACUAUUGUUAUAUAUAAGAAUAAAAAAAAUAGGCAAACCAAGUCAUUAUUAAAGCAACAUAUUGUUUAAUUCUACUCAAGUAUAUCAUAAGUAUUGUCAAGUAAAUAAACAAAAAGCUGAUAUAGAGAUAUAAUAAAAGCUCACAAAACAUAGUUUUAAAACAUUGGUUGCAUAGCUCAGUAUAUAGAAAUUACUCAAUGUACUUAACCACAUUCAAGAGUUCUAAAACUCAACCACGCAACUUCAUUGGUCAUUUGCAACUAAGUUGUUUUAACAAAAUUCGAAGAGACACACACAUUGGUACUGACCUGAAUUAAGACAUGAGAAAACCAAACAUUGGAACUGACCCACAGUAUCAUCCAAUUUCCGCUAAACCAUCAAUCCUACAAACAUAAAAAAAACCUUAUUAGCAAAGGCAAGUGAAAUAUUAAUCCAUUAUAUUGAGCACUUUAGUCCCCUAACUUAAGAUCAGUACCUCGCCAUAAAAAUAGAACCAAAAGGCACAAACACAACACUAUAUAGUAUACCUUAUGAUUCCAUGCAAAUAACUGCUCCAACAAUCAUUCACAGGAGGAACCAAAUCUAUCAAGAAAGCAAAAUAUAGCUUUGUGUAAGUAAGUAUCACUUGUUAUGAAAUUAACAAAACAUGCCUUGCAAUUCUGUUGAAUGAAGUAAAGUUUUUAGAGAAUUAUAUGACUAUAAUUAUAGAAAAAGUUAAUGAAAAAAUAGACAAUGAAAAAAAAUAAGAUUCCUAAAAUAAAUAAUUUAUCAAUGUCACGUGAUUGAGUAAAUAAAAUUGAUCCCAAACCUGCCCAAUUGUUCACAUCAUUGCUUAAGCCCAAUAUAUAAUUCUUGAUUUUACAACUUCUCAUCGUCUACCUAAAAACUCUAUAUAAGUAUAUUCAAAUCUAAAAUCAAUAAAUUUAAUUUCACGACACUUGUAAAAUAAAUUAGAGGCCAAUCCAUACAAAGAACAUAUAGAUUAUGAACAUAUAUUUCAAAGGUGACCUAAAUUCUAACGACAACAAAUUAUUUGAUAAAGAGAUAUCAAGUAAAAUAGAAUCAAACAAAAGUGACAAUUUUGUGGACUAUUUAUUUUACACAUUUAACAGGAUCUUAGAUUUUCAAAAGCAUCUAAUGACUGCAAUAAUUUGUAUUAUCCAAAUAGGCUAAUAUAUUUGUGAACUGUUUUAUACAUUUACCAAUUUGAAGGUUGAAACAAUAGUGUUGUUGGAAAAUGACGGAUAGUUGGAUGCCUUUUGGAACAACUUUGAAUUUUGAAAAGGAAAUCAAAUUAAAUUGUGUGUUUCAAAAUUCAAACCAACUUACAAAUACAGCCAAGAUGUAGUGAGUAAUUAAUGUCCCUAUUCUGAUUUCUUCUGCAGAAGGAGGAUGACAAAAGUCAUUGAAAGUGCUGGCAUUCUGACUUGUAGUGUUCUAUCCAUUGACUCCCUUGAACAUGGUUUCAAAAAGUUCUAAUUCCAAGUGAUGUCAUCUGAUUGCAACAUUAAAAUAAAAUAAAAACACAUAUUUAAUUCACUUUUCAAUAGUGAGCGUACACUAUUUUAAGUUAUAUAAAAGAUUUAUAAGACAAAAUAUAUUCAUAAUCCAAUCAUGUAGCCAUAUAUCAUUUAAAUAUUCCUAAUUUUGUCAUAGCAUAAAACUUACAACUAAUUGUUUCAACUUAGCAUAAAAUCUAUCACCAAAUAGUUGUGUUUAUGAUAUGACACAAUUAACUGAACAGGGAGGGAAAUAGUGGGAAGAAUUACUCAAACUAACAACCUUUAUUAUUUUGAAUGUUUUCUCAAAAUUCAAAAUAUUAUGGAUCUAUAAAUCCGAAAGUGAAAAUGGAUAAAUCAUUACCUCCUCCCCAGAAGUGUGUGUUGCUAUCUCAUUCUUUCAUCUAGUAACAGAACCAACAUUUAAAACUACAAAAACAAAUAAUAUUAAUUUUUAUUGAGAUUUAUGAUAAUAUAAACAUAACCAAAAUGAGUUUUCGGAUGAAAGAGAGAGAAAGGAACUGAUGAUACCUCAGCGCGGUGGUCAAUGGUGGUAUCAAAAUUGAACUUGAUAGAAUGUAUAAAUGAAUGAGUUGCUUUUGUAGAGGAUGAAGAGAUGAAGAUGAUGAUGGCUUUAUUUUAGUGGGAGGAGGCCAAAAUUGAUAGGAAAUGAUGAAAGAAGGUAGAAGAAAAAUAUUUUCAUGGAUGGAGAUUUUACUUGAGAGAGAGUGUGACGAAGAAAGAGAGGUGUUGAGUUUUUGUGUGAGAGAGAAGAUGCGUCUCUUUGGUAAGAUUCAAAAGUGAGCUUAUAGCUAUAAUCAAAGAUUCAAAAAUGAGCUUAUAGCUGUUAAUGAUUAGGUUAUAAGUUCGUUUGACAAAAAAAGUUAUGUUUGACAAUGUCUUUUCAGUUCACCACAAACUUAUAGCUUAUUUCACGACUUUAUAAACUAUUUUUUAGACAUUAUUUCAAGUAGCGUUUGAGCUUAUAGCUUCUCACUUUUUCUUCCAAUUUUACCUUUAUUAUUUCAUUUAAAUUCCAUUUUUAUCCAUUACAAUUUAUUAUAAUAAGCUACGUAAUAAAUACUAUCCCUUUAUUACAAUUUUUGUAUAUAUACCAGCUGGCCUUUUUUUUUGUUUUGAAAAAAUAUAUACCUUCGAGUUACUUUUACUCUAUUAGUGUUACUUUUUUUUUUUUUUUUUGAGGUAAGUGUUAUUUUCUUUAUAAAGUGGAAACACUUAAAUGAUAAUAAAUUUUAAGAUAAAAUUUCAGUGAAUAAAAUUUAAUUUAAUUUAUAAUACAUAUGAUAUAUUAAAUUGAUAAAUUUAAAGUAUUUUUAAAAGAAAAAUUAGUUUACAAAAUUACAAAUACUUAAAUAUUAAUUGAUAUAAUUUUUAUUAUGAAUUAAGAAUACCCUUUUGUCAUUUUACAUUUAUCAGUUAGUUGAACCGUUAUUUUUAUCAAAAACUGCAGUUAGCUUAUCAGCUAUCAGUCAUCGGUUAUAAGCUAUCAGUUAUCCGGUAUUUUUACCAAACAGAGCCGAAGUGAGGAAGAAAAGGAAAUAAGUUUGGAAUGAAUGAGAGAGAAAAAAUAUAGAAAGUGAUGUUUGUUGGGAUAAGAGAAAAAGUAGGAGGGAAAGAAGGAUUUGAAAAAUUUUGAAUUUUGAAUUGAGGAGGGAAAUUGUGUGAUAAAGAUAUUUUAUUGUUUGUAUUGUGUGAAUGCUUAAAGUGGCAACUUUAAAAUUAUUUUUUAAUGGUGAUGUGACAUCAAGUGAUUUAGAAUUUUGACAUAUUGGACUGGUGCAAAAAAAUUUCCUAUUUGUGGCUUCACAUUUGUAUAUUAUUAAGAUUAAGAUAAGAUUAAGAUGUGUUUCUAUUAAGAGUUUGAGAUGUACUCUUUUCAUUGUGAGUGUUGUACUACUAUUUAGCGUUUUGGUGUCUUGAUGUUUAAGUAAUUAGUUAAGUAUGGGAUGUAAUCGUUGUUUUAUGUACUUUGUGGUGCCAAUUUGAGUAUUAAGGAAUGUUGUGCAUAUGUUUGGGUUAAUUUGAGUAUUGGACUGGCAUGGGUAAACCAUUUUCAUUUGAUAGUUCAAGCCAGCCAGCUCAGCACGUCUUCAGUCAACACUGGAUUGAUUGUUCAAGUCAAGCCAGCCAGCUCAGUACGCCUUCAGUCAACACUGGGUUGAUAGUUCAAAUCAAGCCAGCCAGCUCAUCUCAUCUUAACUUAAUACCACAUGUCCAGUACGGAUGGUCAUCGCGUUUCAACUCCACGCGCCCAGUAUGGAGGAGUUGCUUCCUAGUCCACACGCGGCCGUACUCAAAGCAGACAACCAAUAGGAGGCUCUGGAUCACAACUUAUUGGGCCUAGAAUGAUCAGAGAAAGGUCCAUUAAGCCAACACUUUGAGGGCUAUAAAAGGGGGAAGUUUAGAUGUGAUGGGACAGAUCCCAGAUAGUAAAAAACAUUGUAUUAUUCAUUUACUCCUGUAGAGUGCUCUUGAGACUCCACCUAGGACGUUUCACUGAGCAGCUCACCUGUUGUAAUUAACUUGUGUUUACAUACGUAAACAAGUAUUAAGGAAUGUUGUGCACACUAGACCAACAAUUAUAUAUGUCGCAGUUUAGCUAGGAUCUACAUAUGAUAUGGAAGAAUAUUUUGUAAGCAUCCCAGGAAGAAUUUCUAACCACAGCAGGCCUUAUGUGAUUUCCUAUUUUAUGUGGUGCAUUGAUCUGUUUACACUCCUUCAAGGAGUCUCCUUAACUUAGAACAGCGUAUGGGAUGCUUUUUUUUGUGUUGUUAACAUGUUCAACAAGUCUCUCUAUCUUAUCUCUUGGAGUACAUAGGACAUCCAUUAGGCAGAGAAUCCAUGUUCAGCAUUGUGUGGAAAUUAACAAUGAUUGCCUUACUUGAGACAUUCAAAAUAAGCAUGCUUAUGCCAUGUGUUGGUCAAUUAAUUGUACAUGAGAUAUUUUAUAAUGUAACAAAUGCUCUUGGGCAGUUUCUUAGUUUGGACUGUACAAUGGCCAUAAUCAUAACAGGAAUUUCAUUCUUGACAAUCUCCUCAAACCAUUGAAAUUGUUUCAGAUGCUUGCAAGGCACUUAUGGCAUAUAUCUUGAGCCAAUACAAAAUGCCCUUAAUAAGCUAAAUCUUUCGAUACAUCUCCAAAUGAUCUAAUAUGUGCAGAAGCUAUUAUUGCUUGAUAUAGGUGUCUAUUACCUCAUUCUUGCAUCUACAAACCAUAUACUUUGAGUUAUAAGAACCUGGUUUCGUAAUAAUAAUGGAGUAUUCCUCGAUAUAUGUCCAUAACAGGAGCUAAUCUUUUAUAGUAUCAAAUCUUCGUGCCCAACUACUUUUGGCUGAAGAAGGAGCUAACCACAUGAUGAUGUCUCUGACAUGGGUUUAGUCCACAGUCCUUCAUUGCCAUGAUAUGAGAUCAGGGUCCUGAUUAGAAGAGCAAGGUACCUCAUAGUGCAAGGCCUCAUUACUUCACGCAAUGGAUUCAUAUAGUUGUGUCUAUGUUAAUUAUAACGCUAGCCUACCUUAAUUAAUAGAAAUUUGCACAUUGUCUAAUAAUUGUUGUUUUAACGCACUAUUAAUUGUUUUAACAUGUUCAAUGUUGGACAUGUUAGACAAACCCUUCAAAUAUGGUAAUUAAAGAUAAACAUUUUGUGCAUACUUGAUAUUCAUCUAAAAUUAAUUUUUAUGUAAUUUUAACAUUUUUUUUAGUGAAGAUGUCAAUUAAUGUAAUUUUGAAUUGAGGAUAACUAAUCAAAUAUGGUUAAAACUUUUUCAUAUAUACUCCUUCCUUCCGUAUUUUAUUGUAUUUUAUUAUAAAUCACUUUGAAAAAAAUGUUUCAGUUUUAUUAUAAGUCGUUUUGCAAUAUCAUUGCAUCAUUAAUGAUUUUUUUUUUUCUAUCAUACCCUUGACCAUUUAUUGUUCUCCCUUCUUUCCAUUCUUUUAAUUUUUUUUCUCAUAAUUAACAAGGGAUAAUCUUGUAAAAUAAUUUAUCUUUAAAAAAAUAAUUUCUUACAGUAAUUUAGAAUGUUUAAAAGAGUGAUUGGACACAGUGAAAGCCUUAAAAGUUCAAGUGAUUGGAUGGAGUGAUAGCCAGUGACAACAAUAGGGUAAUGGACGUUGGUUCAAAUAUUCAAUAAUAAAUUUUACAUAAUACAAUUCCAUGCUCAUCUCACGGUUGGCCUAAGCCUAAGGCCGAAUAGAGCUAUAAAAAUAAAUGUCAUACAAAUCUACUAAUGUUUUUGAUAUAUACAAUAACACCACAUAAUAUAACAUAACUUUUCCUAUUAGGCUAACCAAGUCCUACAAAUUCAGACAGGUGGUACAUUGAAAUGAAUUAAAAACAUGACUAUGAAAUCCAAUAAUAUCUUCAAGUUGACACAUUUAUCAAGAUAGCAAAGAUGAGCGUUGGACUGCUUUAUAGUUUGUGUCAACUAUAGAUUGUAACAUGUGGAGUGGAGGAAUCAUAUCUUCAGCCAUUUAUGUUAUCUCAUUUCUCAAGUCUCAACCAGUUCAAUAAAAGCUUCACUUUGUUACUCACCCAUGCCAAGUGUCACUGUGUCAGUUUCCUCGUAGCAAAUAACACAUAUGACAACAAAAAAGGGAGAGCUCAAGUUGCUGUCAAAGUUUAUCAGCAAAUUGUCAGAUCAGAACCUGUCCAUUAAAGUCCAAAAUUAUGAUAAUAACAACCAAUAUUAACAACAGUAAAUGAAGACAAUGAUAGUCAUUAUUAUGGAUAUAAUGAUAGACAGUGAGUAAGUAGUACUUGAAAUUGUGAGAGUCAAUUAGUCUCUCAAAUUUAUGAAAUAACAAUUUAAUCUCUUAAAUUGAAUAAUGUCAGAUAACUUCAUACUUUUUUCAAAUUUCACACCAUAAUUAUAAAGAUUAUUGGGUUAAUAUGCGGUGUACAACUCAUUUGUAUGGCUGCUCUUCGCCAAAUGUGGAUGAUUUUCUGGACUCCCCUCGUGACCCAACAAUGGUAUCAAGGUUGAUGGUUCGACAAAGUGUUCAUCCGGCUCAUUGUGUCGACAGUCUUCCUGAGAAUGAUGGUCAGACAGUGUGUCCCAUUGAGUGCAGCAGCAAUGGUGGUGCAAGUAUAUGUAGAUGAAAAAAACUUCCGCUUGAGGGGAAGCCUAACUAGAUGAAUAGAAUGACUCACACUUGAGGGGGAGAUUGUUAUGGCAAGCGAGGUGAGUUAGAAGUCCCAAGUUAGAUGGAAAAGUGAGUGUUGAACAAUAUAUAAGUGAGAGAAUCCAUAAACAAAAUGCCUUAAGGUUUUGGGUUAAGAUGUGGUGUCCAACUCACUUGCGUGGUUGCUCUUGCCCUGAUGAGGAUGAUCCCCUGAGCUCCCCUCAUGACCCAACAUUAUGCUUGUCUUGAUGCAGCACGAGGCUACUGAAGUCAAUAUUUAGGUAUUUUAGUGGUUUUAACGAAUGUUUACUAAUGAUGAAAUAUUGUGACAGAGGGACUAAAUUGAUUGAUGUUCUUUAAUCGAAGGGACUAAAUAGCUAUUUUGUAAAAUUGAGGACUAAAUUGACUAAAUCUUACAAUUUCAAGGACAAAAAUGCUUAUUUACUCAAUGAGUUGAGGUCCUCUCCAUUUCUUGAAAGAAGUGGACAUCUCCAUUACUACAGUUUUGUGUAAUGAGUUAUAAGGACUAUGCAAACAAAACAAAAAUGGCAAUUUCAAGAAGUUCUGAAAAACAUAUUUCACCUUUUUGCUUAAAACUUAUGGCCAAAAGGAUGACCAUAGUUCCAUAAGCUCACUACUUCUUUAGAAAGUACACUCCAUCCCGAAGUUCUAACUUUUCCUCAGAGACUAGACCAGAUAAAAAGCUUUGUAGUUGUUGGAGUGAUUUGUCAUAAGGGGGAUCAGCAAUGCAAAACAUCUGUGGCAACGGAAAGAAUCAAUUUGUUGAUCAUGUCACGUGUGCUUAACAUUUAUAAAGGUGUAAAACCCUUUCUUUGUUGAAGGGUAUAGAGGUGAAAAACCAUUAUUACCUUGAGAGUAUUGUGAAUGCGAUCUAAUGCCAUGCUACCAAAGUUUGUGAGCAUCCCCAAGAUAAAUUUCUGCCAUAAAACAAUACAUGUUAGAUAUCUUUAUUCAUAUGCAUUUGCAUAUUCCCUUGUGAUUGAAUACUUCAAUAAACAUAAACGAGAAACUUGUGCAACCCAAAGUAACCAUCAUCAUAAGGCAAAAUAUUUAUUAUUAUAUAAUAAAUAUUCGAAAAACUAAGAGUAACAUGCUAAUGAUGAAAAAGAUGUUUAUAUUUAUUCAGGGACUUCAGUUCUCUUAUGGUGUUUGUUCAUUCAAUGGUUUUGCUCUUCACUACACAUGGAAAAUGAUAAAAAGCCAUUUUGUUGUCAAAAAACCAUUAAGAAUUACUACAAAUUCACCAAAGGUUAAAAUAACGUACAUUAAAAGGACUCUAAAAUGUUGGUACUAAAUUUUUUAUAAUUGAUUAAAAAUAUUAAAGCAAGUCACAAUAUGAAAUGAAGAGCUUUAUUUCAUGUACCUCAUACACAGUCAUCUCCUUCCGAAGUUGAUUUUCUACCGAGGCCACAGAUCUGUCUUCCUCUUCAUCACCUCCAAGAAGUUCCUGAGCAUUGCCACUGCCGCCUCCAUUCCUACUUGUCUCAGCCAUGUUUUCCAUAAUAGUGUAUACAAGGUCAGAGGAAUCUCCCCCCGACGACUCUGCAAUGACCCCCUGUUACAAAAACACAGCCGCGAGUGAAGUUACAUCGUCACUGCUAAAUUUAAGACUAGCAGUUUUAAAAUAACUAGAAUUCUUGUUUUGGACAAACCAACAGAAGUUUCCUAAUUGGGCAAGAGAUAAUAUUUUUCUCAUAAACUAAAUGUAACCAUGCUGCAAAAGUGUUUGUACUAAUACCUGAAAGUAUACCAAAAAAAAUUAUACAAGAGGCCUAACAGACUCACCUUGCUUAUCCAAAAAUUUAUUCUCCUAUUUAACACAUCCACAGGUAUCCCAAUAGCAGCUGCAAGGUGUUUAGAGGUCCAACUGAAAGCAGAAACAUAAUAUUACAGUACAGUCAAAACAACAGACUAAAUGUAUCGAUAGAUUUUUAGGAUACCUCGUUUGAUCUUGAAAUUUCAUAAUAAUAGAUGCAAGAACAGGGGCUACUGUGAAUUGCAUUUCCCUAUCUUCAAACUGCAACUCCAGCUAUACCAUUGGACAUGACAAAAUUAGGAGAAAGAUAGAACUGUAAGGGACAACACCACUAAUCAAAUUAAAAAACUGUGCUAAAUACCGCUAGACAAUAAGAUCUGGAAGGAAAAAAAUAGAACAACUAACCUUGACAGUCCCAAGACUUUUUUUCCACUGAAGCUUACGGGGUGUUUUGACUUCACUAAAUCUCUUCGCAUAAUCGGAGAGAAGCUUGUCAACAGGUUCCGGCAGGUUAAGGGGCUCAUCCUGUAAUUCUCUUCGAAGUCAGUCAUAGAACAGAGUGGAUAGCUUCGCAUGACAACAAAGAAAGACAACAACAACCAAGCCUUAUCCCACUAAGUGGGGUCGGCUACAUGGAUCAAAUGACGCCAUAGUGUUCUAUCAUACACCAAAUUUGGAUCCAACUCAUUGACCUCUAAAUCCUUUCUAAUAGUUUCUCUAAUAGUUUUCCUAGGUCUUCCUCUACCUCUUUUAACUUGACUCUCCUCCAUUUGAUCUACUCUUCUUACCACGGCAUCUACGGGUCUUCUCUCUACAUGCCCAAACCAUCUAAGCCUAUUUUCUACCAACUUUUCUACUAUAGGUGCUACCCCCACUCUCUCUCUAAUGGUGUCAUUCCUAAUCCUAUCCUGUCUAGUCUUACCACUCAUCCAACGCAACAUCCUCAUCUCUGCUACACUUACUUGAUUCUCAUGUUGACUCUUAACCGCCCAACACUCCGUACCAUACAACAACGCCGGUCUGACUGCUGUCCGAUAGAACUUUCCUUUCAACUUAAGUGGUACUUUCUUAUCGCACAAAACAUAUGAGGCUCUUCUCCAUUUCAACCACCCAGCUUGAAUAUGAUGGCUUACAUCUGCUUCUAUUUCUCCGUCAUUUUGUACGAAGGACCCAAGAUAUUUAAACCGUGUAAAUUGGGGUAUGAUAUGAUCUCCAACUUUCACCUCCAAGGUAGACCUACUUCUCCUUCCGCUGAAGUUACAUUCCAUAUACUCUGUCUUGCUUCUACUCAAGCGGAAUCCAUACGCUUCUAAGGCUUGCCUCCAGGUCUCUAGCCUCCCGUUUAGUUCCUCCCUCGACUCACCCACCAAGGCAUGACAACAAAGCAAUUGAUAAAACUAUAUUUUCGUUGAACAAUUCAUUUUAUUGAAAAUACUAGACUAUAUUAUCAUAGUUAUUAAUGUUAUGCUUCAAGUUGAGAACAGUUCAAAAUAAAACAAGAGAUGAUAAAAGCAGAGCUAAUUGAACUUCAGGAAACGAUAACUAAUAAGACUAUGAAAUGCUAAAGCAAAUUCAUGCUAGUUUGAAGAAACUCUACAUGAGUUUACAUGGAACAACAAUGAAAGAGAAUAUCAAUAAUUUUUUGAAUUAUUUUAAGCUUCAUGAAAAAAAAAAAAAAAUAAUCAAAAUUUUAAACCUGAUUUGAUAUGUUUUUACUUUCCUUUUAUGAAAGAGAAGUUUGGAUAUUGUGUAGCAUCAACUUCUUGCAUAUACAUAAUGAAUAGUUCGUUUACUUUUGGAAAAUACAAUGUUUAUUCAACAUAAUAGACAAAUGUAAAAUAUACAAGUGAUGAAUGACAGUGGAAACAUGGUGGAAUGAAAAGAAAAGCUUGCUCAAAUUCUGAAAUUUUAGAUUACAAUUGCUUAAGAUAAGGCAAGGAUGAGUUGCCUAAAACUAAAAUGAUUUGAAUUUACAAACUACAGUAUUAAGUAAAAAGGAGUCAGUACUGCUAGGCAUUGACGAGCACAUAUAAAUACAACAACAACAACAACCAAGCCUUAUCCCACUAAGUGAGGUCGGCUACAUGAAUCAAACGACGUCAUAGUGUUCUAUCAACAACCAUGUCUUUCUCCAACUCAUUUAUCUCUAGAUCUUUCCUAAUAGUUUCUCUUAUAGUUUUUCUAGGUCUACCCCUACCUCUAGUGAUUUGACUCCUCUCCAUCUAAUCCACUCUCCUAACUACAGAAUCCACAAGUCUUCUCUCUACAUGCCCAAACCACCCAAGUCUAGUAAUGUCGUCAUUUCUUAUUCUAUAGGUGCUAGCACAUAUAAAUAAUAGUAAAGACAAUCUAAUUGAAAUUAUUUAUUGUUAUUUUUGUCGAAGAAAUGAUAUUAAUGAACCUAAGUAUAUUAUACGGGCUGGGUAGUGAGAACUAUAACUUGAAUCAUAACAUAAAUAUAUCAAUCUUUUUCACAUUAUCUGAAAAUAAAAAAUCAUCAAUAAAAUAAUUUUAUCUGCAGACCUGUAUCGGAGGCCAGAAAUUAGAAGAUAUGAUAGUGGCGGCUACUUUAUCCAUGGAAAUUGCAUUGUCUUCAACCUCCACACCUAAGAGUGCAUAGACAAAUUUUGGUGAAAAGGAAUUGAAGCAAAUGAUAGUUAAAACUAUCUUUGGCAAUGAUCACAAAUAGAGGAUAUUUGAACUUGGAAAUUACUUGUCUGAGGUAGCUGACUUAUGGUAGCUUUAAUGUUAGUGUCGACUCUCUUUGAGCCAAUUAGAUCAUUGAGCAUAAUCUCGCAUUUUUGUAGGCUGCUCUCUCCGAAGUGUAUCUGCAAAAACAAAGCAUUGAACAGAUGUUUACGUAUUGAUAUCAAAAUAAAGAAUGAAUACACAUAAAAAAAAUGAUAAAAUAUUAACAACAUAUCUAGUCAAACAAAAAAGGCAACACAAGUUUUAUUUGAAUAAGAGUACCUUAAGGAGUUCUAGAGUACGUAUCUCUGAGUCAAUAUCAUAAUCAGAUUUAUUUAGAAGUUUCUCAGCAAGCAUAGUUCGAUAUUCAUGAACUAAUUGAUCUUUUGAACCAAUUAUGCCAACAAUCAUUCCAAGUAUGUCAACCUUCCUUUGGUUUCUGCUUCCCUUCAAUGGAUCUGCUUCUACAGGAUCAGGUUGCCAUCUGUUUGGAAAACCCCAUUAAGAAGAAACAUCAAUUUCAUAACCUAGCAGGCAGACCAAAUCAGAAAGAAAGGUGAAAACUGCGAAUCAAAAUCCAUAAUAUAAAUAUACCGUGUGGCAUUGAUCCAUGCUUGCCUAUCAUCAGUGUUAAAAUCAUCAUCAAUACCAAAAUUCUCUUGAAUUUCUUCAUCUCUGUUCAACUCUUCAAGAAGGCUAUCUCCAGGAUUUCCGGAUGCACUUGAAUUUCCCCCAGUCCCAUCUGUCAACAUGGUCACUAUGCAUUUUAUUGUAUCUCUCCUUCCUCUUAAGUAAUCCCUUAUUGGUUCACCAACUGCCUCAAGGAAAACACCAGCAGGAUCUAUCGUCCUUAGGGCUUUAAUAGUAGAAACGUAUUGGUGUAAUAUAUCAUUGGUUGAUGCGCCUGCAGUAAGAAGGCGAUAACGCAGUGCAGAAAUAAAUGACUCCACCAGCUUUGAAUGUUGUCCGGUGUAUUCAAGACAAAGUUUUAAGUCUUCAAUUGCAGGAGAGCUUCAAGUAUCAUCAGAGAGAAAAGGAAAAUAAAUGCUCAGAAAACAAUGCAUAAACAAAUGAGAUGGGAUCUACCAGAGAAUUAGUUUGUAAUGCUUAUUGUUGAAGUUCAAAAUUACUCAAAUCAAGGUUAAAGCAUGCAGCGGGAUAAAGCAUUAGUUUUAUAAUUAAAUUCAAUUUUUAUUGUCCAGUCAAAGAACCAAAACAACGAAUUACACAAGAACAUGUCAAAGCCAAGAACAAUCGUAAUUCUCCUCCAACUACUGCAGGAUGGUUAUACCCACUAAGUGACUAAACAUGUUUCUGUCAAUCCGGUGGACAAUGCCAUUCAGUUUAAUAAGACAUAAUAGAAGGUAACUAAUUAAUUUUCUAACAAAAAACCCAGGAGGAAAGCAAGGAAUUGCAAUUAACAAAAUACCUAUCGGGAUAAUCAACGAUUAUCUCAAAUAAUUUGGCUAUCCUUAAAUCUUGCAGUGUUUCAUAAGCAAAAUAUUCCAGUCGCAACUUCCAUCGGACAAGACUUUCAGAGGGAGUAUCAAUUCCGGGACAGCAUGACGAUGAUUUUGGGGCUAAAGGUGAUUUGAGACCUGAUGAAGUACUUUCGUAGCUAACAGAGUCACCAAGAUAGACAAGAAGGGCAUGGAGAAACUGGAGAGGAACAGCCUGAAUGAUUCCAGUUAUAAGUAUUGUAUGUUAGAAUCGUGAAAACAUUUGUUUAUCUAAAGAGUUGGCAAAGGUGCACAAAAUGUAUGCACAUACACAACAUAUAUGCACUACAAACCUGUAUCCAGCUUUGAAUAGAUUGUAAGACCGAACUCCUAAAAUCAUCUCCCGCUACAUCAUAUACUUUUGCCUGCAAGUCAGACAAAUGAGUCAAUGACCCACCCAAAGAUUAGAAUCAAACAGAGACGCGUGAUGAGUGCAACAUAAAGGCGAAAGAAGAAAUUGCAAGAGACUGAGGAAAACCGGAAGAUCCAGAUUUUGAAUUUCAUAAGCAUGCUCACCUUUAGUAGUAAAAAUAUAGCAGAAGCAUACGCAUCUUCAGCCAUUGAAGUAAAUCCAAGACUUCUGAGAUCAAGAACAACUUUUCCAAUGUUCUUCACCAGUUUACUGUUUUCUGAGAAUCGACGGUCACUAUAGCACUCAUCAACAUCCAUCUCACCAUCUUUGCAUAUUUUUCCUUUUUCAUCUAAAUCCAUGUCAUCCUUAUUUUGAGACACAUCAUCAGUGAACUCCCCAUCCAUGACUGUACUUAACUCCUCCAGCCUUCUUUUAAAAUACCAAUGCAAUAUAGCUAAUGGUAGCAAAUGAAAAAGAAAUACAAAGCCGAUUAGAAAAAUUUGAAGUUUUAAGCACAUCAAAAAAUAUCAAACAAGGGAAUUAAGCAAAACUUUCAAUCAACUAAUGUUUCGAAGAUCAAGAAAACAUUGCACAAAGUACUGACCUAUUUCUAAAUUAGAUCAAAAGAAAGCAAAUUUCCAUGUAAAAUUAGCCAUAUGGUGAAAACCAAGAGCAUUGUCGACAAGAUUCUAUAAUCAAAAUUGAAAGUAAAUCAUUCAUUUACAGUAUGAAAAGGAAAUCCCUCAUAAACAUUAACAUAAAAGAACAACAAACCGCUUACAAACCAGGGAAAACGCGAGGAAGUGUGGCCAUAAGCACAGAAGAGACAGUCCAUUGAUACUUAGAGGUAAGGUAAUUCCUUUCUGCUUCAAAAUUAUGCCUUUCCUCUGACGUUUGAUCCUUGAAAGAUUGUAAAGCAUGGACCAAAAUUAACAGACACUUCUCCUGGUACUGUUUCUCCAAAGAGAUUUCUUCCAAAGCAUUACACAGCACACUCUCAAUCUCAUCCUCAUCAAUCUGUUUCAUUUUAUUAAAAAAAAAAAAAAAAAAAACAUGGUAACAAGCUCUAUAGCACCAAUAAAAGUCUCUUAGAAUUUGUGUAUAGGUCUAACACAACCCUACAAAACUGGCUUGUGAGGUGAGGACUGCCCCACAUAUAAACACUUGUCGGGACAUCUCUUACAAUGUGGGACUCUUAACACACACCCCUCACAAACGGGACUGGACAUUUGAAGCGUGACCCAAGUGGCCUGAUAGCGGAAACCUGACAGCAGGUGCCUUAAGAGAUCUUGGACUCGCUCUAAUACCAUAUUAGAAUUUGAGUUGAGCCUAACUCAACCUUACAAAAGUGUCCAAUGUCAGACAUUUGUUGGUGUCCGACACCAGCACAAUGUGAUUGCAUUCAAUUAUGUCAUUUUUUCAAAUAAUUACUGGUGUAAGGUAUUUGUGCCCGUGCUUCAUAGGUACAAACCACAACCAAAACAAUGACAAGUAAGAUUCAUAAUUCAUAAACACUCACAUUGACAUCACCAUUCUUGUUCAAAGAAACAAAAUCAGCAUAAGGAACAAAAUGCCGCCAAAACCUCGAUGACCCAUUUCGUUCAAAAGUUUCCUACAACCAAAGAAAUCAAUAAAAAUUCAUACUUUAAAAUUCAAAUAGUGAAAUUCUCAGUUGGGUACCUCUAAGACUUUGAGAAAAUGGUCACGAACGAGUGACUCUAGACCAUGUUUACAAAGGGUGUGAACGUGAGAAACAAAUUCAGCACCGUAUGAAAGAUCGCCAGCACCGCCGAGAAGAGAUUGUGUGGCGUUGCAGAAGAGGGUAUAGCUUUCGAGGAUUUCGUGAAGUUGGUCUUCGCUGAGUGUAUCUAGGAUUCCUAUGUUGAACAGUGAUGAGUGAGAAUCCUCCAUUGUCGUUGUUCCACAGUGUGAUUGUGUUUCGAUGUUGGGGUUU
rnacentral:lncRNA from 1 species